GGUAACUUCCUGGCGAGGAAAGCCACAGCAAAACUUACAGUGGCCAGGCAGCUCAUGUAGAUGAGGACACAGUAAAACAUUGUCACAGACCCUUCAUUACAUUCUAGUAUAAUUUCUUCUGUCAUUGAGUGCAUGUCCACAUCUGGGUAUGGGGGAGAGGUUGCCAGCCACACAGUACAUAUCCCUGCUUGAACUAUGGAACAGGAAAGGAGAAUGGAGUGGCCUAGUUCUUUCCCCACCCAUUUCCUCAUCCUGGAUUCUGGUUUUGUAGCCAUGAAGGCCAAAACCACCAUGAAGGUUUUUGCCAGGACACAAGAAACAGCGGUUGAGAAGAUGAUACCAAAAGCUGGUUGCCGGAGGAGACAUGUGACCUUCUCAGGUCGGCCAAUGAAGAGCAAAGCAGAAAGGAAGCAGAGCAGGAGAGAGAUGAGGAGAGCGUAGGUGAGGUUUCGGUUGUUUGCAAUGACAAUGGGUGUGUCAUGGUGCUUCAUAAAUGUACCUAGUACCAGAACUGUGAUCAGAGAAAGGAAAAGAGAGAAGCAGGCUAAACUGAUGCCCAAAGGUUCUUCAUAAGACAAGAAGCUGAUAUCCUUGGGUAGACAGGCAUCACGGUUCCGGCUUGGAUAGUCUUUGUCUGGGCAUUUAUUACAGUCAUUCAUAUCUGGGGGGAAACAAAUAUAUUAGGUCACAGAUUUCAGUUUGCUGAAAUGUUUACUUUCUGUCUGAGAAGAAAAGAGCUCUGUUUAAAUCCAAGUACAUGUUUAGUACAGUCUUAUGCAAUGCAAUGUGGUAUUGUUGCAAUCUAACCUUUCUCUGUGUCAUGGAUAUGCCACUAAAGCACAUGAGACCGUGAGGGGAAAAGUACAGUGGUACUUUGGGUUACAUACGCUUCAGGUUAAAUAUGCUUCAGGUUACAGACUCCGCUAACCCAGAAAUAAUACCUCGGGUUAAGAACUUUGCUUCAGGAUGAGAACAGAAAUCGCGCGGCGGCUCAGCGGCGGCGCGAGGCCCCAUUAGCUAAAGUGGUACUUCAGGUUAAGAACAGUUUCAGGAUAAGAAUGGAUCUCCAGAAUGAAUUAAGUAUGCAACCAGAGGUACCACUGUAGUCCAAAAUGUUUAAUUCUGCGCAGAAGGUUCAACUGGGAAUAAUUAACCUAACUAACCUAAAACAACUAAACGUCGUACAAAGACUUCGAAACAGUUUUAUACGUUUGGCACAAAUUCCACACAUUCCAUUAAGUUUAAAUUUCCUAUCCAAUUGAAACGCUUUGUUUCCCUCACCCUAUUUCCUCUUAAGGCACUUUGUUGUCUCCUUAUGAUUGGUCCAAAUUACAAACAGUGUAAGCAUGCAUACUGACUCCCAGUUUAAAUAAAGGAGCUUCCUCGUUUUCUGCUAAAAUUUUAUUGCAGAAUUAGAUUUCCACUUCAGUAUUUUAUUUCACUCUAGUUACCGUGAAUAGUCUGACCACAGUCCAAGCAUGCUCAGUAUGUCAAAACCUUAUAUGGUAUAAUUAUCUGUAUUUAAUUACUGCCGUAUUCUUGAAUUUAAUUGGUUCAGAGGUAUGUUGUCCUGUAAGUGCCACAGCCAGUGCCAUUGCCAUCUGAAUGUUUAUUGACACUAGCCAGGGUGCAGCCUGUGUAAGUCAGAAGGAGUGCCACAGCCCCCUCUAGAUAUGCUCAGGACGCAAGGUAGAAAUGUGCAAAGAGAAAGGCAUGAUCCGGAAACCAAUAUCCCCACUGUGGAAGGACAUGUGGAUUCAGAAUUUGCCUCCACAGUCACUUAUGGACUCAUUGUGAAAACUUUGCUUAUGGAAGACAAUCUUACUCGGCUAUGAGUAAUCGAAGAAGCAGAAGAGGGAUCAUUUUUAAGGGUGCUCCUGGUUGCGGUCAGGCCCCCAACCCGGCCCCCCCCGGCGUGGGCGGAGCAACGCCAUCAUGCCAGGGUGGCACCACGAUCACCCCAGCUUUUUGGCCAAUCAUUUUUCUGUGGGGUGAUUGUGGGGGGAUAUAAAAGCUGCAGCGUGAGGCGUGUCAGGAACCUGCUUCACACUGCUUCACACCCACCCUCCCUUUAUUUUAUGUGUCCUCUGGCCUUGCUUUGUUUUUGGUUGGUCACCUGUCUUGGGCCCGGGGCCAGGUAGGAAUGUUUCCAUUUGGCAGAUUGGCAAUGGCCACUUGGCUUUCGCCUACCUCUUAGCAAUCGUCACAACUUUGUAAGGUUUGGUGGUUAGGCAUUGGCUCAUUGAUUUGUGGGGGAGGGGAAGCCAGCCAUCUCCUCCAACUCCAUUGACCAAGGGUAUUCCGUUAAAGGAUUUCAGGGCCUGGUUAAAGGAUUCCAGGGCCAAUACCACUCACAUUUAGUUGUGGCCUAAAAUUUUGCCCAAUAACCUUAAAUAAAGAUUCUGUGUCAGUGUGAAUUUUAUUCUAACAAGGAGCUGGUUUGGGGGUCUUGCCAUGUCAGAAGAAGAAGAAGAAGAAGAAGAAGAAGAAGAAGAAGAAGAAGAAGAAGUGCUUUGGACCACAUACCAUCCAACUACUCUCAAUGCAUGGUCAUUCUCAUUUGAUUAGCAUAUUUAACUAUCUGAAAGGCAAUGAUCACAAAGAGGCAGGAUCACACACACAGUAGAUUAUCUCUUUGGAAAAGUAAACUCAGCCAUCCUUACAACAGCUUUCGAUUAUUAGUGCUGAGUCUGAAUGUAUUUAAUCUAUUUAUUUCUCCUACCAUCCUGGAUUGCAAUCUUUCCCUCUGCACAUGGGAUGCAAUCGUAGCAGCAAGGUGGCUGUCCCUCCUUCACUUUCUUGCUGGAUCCUGGAAGACAUCUCUCAGUACAGAGAGAAAGAGGCCGAGUCUAUUCCGUAAAUGAAAGAGCAGAAGGAUCAGCAAGAGAACAAUGAGUUUGGAAAUCUUCAUGUUCCUGGGCCCCUCUCUAUGUUACGAAGCUGACUCAGCAUUCCAACAAUAUGUAAAAUGGUUUUAUUUUUUUAGUACCGUGGUACCUCGGGUUACAUACACUUCAGGUUACAUACGCUCCAGGUUACAGACUCCGCUAACCCAGAAAUAGUGCUUCAGGUUAAGUACUUUGCUUCAGGAUGAGAAGAGAAAUUGUGCUCCAGCGGCGCCGCAGCAGCAGGAGGCCCCAUUAGCUAAAGUGGUGCUUCAGGUUAAGAACAGUUUCAGGUUAAGAACGGACCUCCAGAACGAAUUAAGUACUUAACCCGAGGUACCACUGUAGUAGUAAUGUUUGAAGUGAUGUCAUACUCCCUCUAUUGUUCUGGGAUGUGUAGGUGUUGUGAUUACAUAGCAGUUCCCCACUUUUUAGCAAGAAAGGCAAAAUCUUGGGGCUUAUCCUCUUUUCCUCAGUUAAAAACCAGUAUUUUAUAAUUGUUAAGAAAUAUUUAUAAAAUAUUUGUAAAUAUAAUAAAAUAAAACAUUUGCCUUUAUUCCAUUAGUGACUUCUAGCAGUAAGCUUUUGGCUCUUAAUCUGGUACUUGGAUGAUGAAGAAGAAGUGUUUGGAUAGGAUAUCCUACUUUAUCACUACCCUAAGGAGUCUCAAAGCGGCUAACAUUCUCCUUUCCCUUCCUCCCCCACAACAAACACUAUGUGAGGUGAGUGAGGCUGAGAGACUUCAGAGAAGUGUGACUAGCCCAAGGUCACCCAGCAACUUUAUGUGGAAGAGCGGGGACACGAACCCGGUUCACCAGAUUACGAGUAUACUGCUCUUAGCCACUACACCACACUGGCUCUCUGUAUGCAUUGGUCAUGUUCUACACAGGAACAUGCAGUUUAAAAGACAGACAGUAGACAUGCAGGUGAAUGAUCAUUGCUUAGGCAAUACUGAAUUUCUUUGGAAUGAUCUAAUAAUGUGGUCCUACCUGAUUAAACCAACUGUGCCAUGUUAUGGCAUCUUCAUCAAGGAUGAAGGAUUGGUCUGGAGAAGCCUGCGGAUCUAUCCUCCCAACUCUCACUCUAUGCAAACUUUGGUUGGAGAAUAUAAUCCAAUUGACAAUAUCUAAGCUAGAUACCACCUCUCCAUUCCGGUUGAUGAAGACCACAUCUCCGGCCGUAUUGUUAAAUGAGAUGCUUCUCAGAAAGUGAUGGAGCUAGAUUGAAAACAGAAAAGGCAAUUGUUUCGAAAAGGCUGCAGUCUAAUGCAGGGUGGAGCAUUUUUUUUUCUUCCUGUAGGAAAAAACGACAGAAAUUGGUGGGGGUGAUUCAGUCAAGUGUCAGUGGAUUCAGGUCAAAGAAUGGAGAGAACACCAAUUUUCUCUUUCCCACACCCCUCUCUCUCCCUCUCCCCCUUUUUUACAACCUUUCUUUAUCUCCCCCACCCCCCACCUCUUUUCCUCUGUCCCUCUUCAUCUCAGGAGACACCACAGUGGUGUAUGAUCACAUGAUCUGAGGGAAGACUUGGAGCAUAUGGGAUAGAGAUAAUGCUGAACAUCUCUCUCAACCAUUACUGCCGCUUCUUAUCUUUGAAUGCAGUAACAUAUCAGUGGUCUGCAAACUUCUUUCAUAGAAGCACUUUUUCAUGUCUGAGAUGAAGGAGCAAGUUGACAACACUUUGGAAACCAAUCCCUUGUGGGGGAAUAACAGGCCUCUUCAAAUUGAGAAUGUUUAGCCUAUGACCUGCCAAAACUGUGGAUUCUGAUUCUUCCCUCUCCGUCCGUACGCCAUUCCUCUGUGCCUAAGUCUGAAUGUGGACAUGGCAUGUAAAGCAUGGGCCAAGGCGUAGACAGCAUUGUGGAUACUGUAACUGUGGCCUGUCAUGCUCAUUUCAAAAAAUGAUCCAGGAAGGUUCUCCAGCUUCUCUUCUCCUGUGCAAAUAUUCCCCUCCACCUUGUCUGAAGUGAUAUCUGGGAAUACACAUCCAAAGGCCUGUUGCCAGAAGUCCCUGAUAAAACCGUCCCCAUCUGGGCUGGAAGGGUUUCUGUGAACAACAUACUGAUGAAAUCCUGGUGGGUUUCUGAAGUGAAUCUCAAAGGAUAAAGUACCAUUGAAUAUUCCUGCAUCCCAGUUCCUUUGAAUGACAAAUGAAGUGAACUCAACAUGGGCAGUUGUUAUCCAUACUUUACUUUUUAUAUUGUAUGUCAUGUCAUCAUGUUCUGAUAGGUAUGGAAGCCAUCUAAAAGUUCCCAUGGAAUAAGAUUCUCCAUGGGCAACUAUUACAUUAGCUGUGCUGCUAAAAAUUUUAUGGUUUGUACUUGUCCCGUGUUGUAGCAUGCCAUCAAUUUCAGAAAUAAAACUUAAACUGGGGAUUCUUUCUAGGAAUGCAAAACACACACCACUCUUGGUAAAUAUUGGGGAAAUGGUUUGCAGAAAUCUUUCUCCAUUGUCAUUGUCUGUUGCAAUGACUCCAAUCCAUGUCCACCUGAAAUGCAGAAGCAAAGAGAGAAUUCCCUCAUACUGAAGGGCUUCUGAGGCUGCCAUCUGGUAGAAGGGAAGCCCUGGGCUUUUAUCAUUCAUCACCGGAGCAGAGCCAUAAAUGAGCUAAAAAGUAAGUGGAGGAAGAGAAGAGACAAAGUAGAUUCCUUUCACAGUAUUCAUAUACAUUAUGUGGUGAACCCUGUUAGUCUAAUACGCCCUUUGCUAAUGUUUCAGGGUUUGUUUGCCUCUCUCUUAGUUUUACAAAAGAAACACAUGCAGAUGGGCUGAAAACUGGGAUCAUCUCCCUUUUCUUAUUUUUAAACCUUUAAUUUGAUGACUGGAAAGGGAACUGUGUCUGUUUUAUAUUAUUUUUAGGAAUCUUUUUAACACACUGAUGACUGGAGCAAAGCAUUGUGUCUACUUCACUUAAAAACAAACAACUUUUUUAUGUCAUUGGAAAAUUUGGCAUGGUCUUCUAAAAUGCAUAAAACUGAAUGGGGGAACAUACCCUGCCACAAACAACAGAUUUCCUGGACAUUAUCUGGCUUUGUCAGAAUUGCAAGCAAUUUCCCUUUUCCAACAGCAACUCAUCUAACUUGGGUUAGAUGCACAUUUCUUCUCUGGAGCUUCGUCUUUCUUCUUCAUGAUGCACAUGUCCCAUCACACAGCAAAACUGUGCUGAUUCUUCUCAGACUUUAUUUAUGAACAUUUAUUUCACUUGUGAAUCAGCUGCUAACUAGUUUUACUGUUCUCCUGAAGAACUGGAUUGUAUCUGCAGUUUGCAAUAACUUCUCUAUAUCUUUAAUUAUGUCCAGUGGGCUAAAGAGGAAUAGUUAUUGUACUGGCUCCUACCUGUAAGGGUUUUGUAGCUGUAAGCAUUUCCCCCACUUCCCCAGCUUAUUUGACAUGCCCUCCUCACUAAUUUUUCCACUGGCGCCUAAAAUCUUAUUUCUUUUAUCCAGUAAGCAAUUCCCCCCUUUACUCAGCAGCUCAAUUCAGAUACCCUCCUAACUAAGCAGAAAAUGAUGCAUAACCAAAAACUGCUGGUGAGAGAGAAGCCCACUCUCCCAUCAGUGGCAUUUGUUAUAUACUGUAAGUGAUCUAAAUAUGUGUGUAAGACAGGGGAGAGUUACAUAUUUUUUCAGCUAUUGCAACCUUCCCCUUUAUUCAGGUUUGUCUGUCUGUCAGUCUGAAUGUUUGGUUAUAUUACAAUUAUGUACAACCUUUAUUUUCCAAGGAACUCAAGGUGGUGUACAUGGUUGUCCUUCCAAUUUCAUCUUCACCCGGAACUGAUGCUGAGGAACCUGCCUCUUCCUCUAUGCAAGCUAAUAGAGGUAUUGUACAUAGGUGUCCUACCUGCGGAAUCUUAUAGAUAUCCAAAAUAGUUGCCACAUAAAAGGAGAUUUCAGAAUCCAGUCCCCCAAUGACCCCUGCCAGAUAACUUUCAACAUCACAUAUAUAGUUAGGGACAAAUUUUUCCACCAUGGAUAAAAGCAGCAGUGUGGCAAGACAUGUGCUCCUUGCAUUGUUAUAGCUGUCAUAUAAGUGGAAGCCCAAGGUGAUAUUGGGUAGGAUGUGAGAGUCUUUGUUGAUCUCCUUGACUGCAAAUGCCAAGGCCACAAUGUGCUGGUAAAGCUUAGGCACCACCCUAGAAUGAGAGUUGCAAACUGUAUCAGCAGGAACUUCAAAAGAUGUAUCCUUUUACAUAUCAACAGAGUAGUUAAUCAUAUUGAGUUCAGUGGGAUUAACUCUCUCUUUUUUUUUUAAAGAAUAUUUAUUCCAAUUUUAAGAUUACAGAAAAAGAAAAAAGCAAAAAAAAAAAAAAAGAGAAAAACAAAUCACAUACAUCCUACACACACAAAAAAACACCACACGGUACAGAGAAAAAUACAGAAGAGAAAAAAUCACAAUACAAAAGUAACAAAAAAUCAAAUUAAACCAUUAGAACCGUUUUCCCAUUUACUUAUUUCCGUGACUUCCUCUCACUUCUCUGCUUUGUAUUCUAGUUCAAAUCGUAUCUCCAGCAAACCCUUCUAACCUUCUUUUCAUUUACUUAUUUUAACAUUCGAAAAUAUUUAAUUCUCCUCUAUCUUUUAUUUUACACUUCAUAUUUACUUAUUCCAUUAUACUCUGUCUGCCAAUACGGUCUAAUAUUCUUCUCCAACCUUUUCUAACAUUCUUUUAUAUUACAGUAUUUCUGAAGAUAUGUUUUGAAUUUUUUCCAAUCUUCUUCCAUCGACCCUUCUUCUUGAUCUCGAAUUCUGCCGGUCAUCUCAGCCAGUUCCAUAUAGUCUAUCACUUUUCUCUGCCAUUCUUCUCGGGUAGGCAAUUCUUGUGUCUUCCAGUAUUUCCCAAUGAGUAUUCUUGCUGCUGCUGUCGCAUACAUAAAGAAAUUCCUGUCUUCCCUUCGCACCAAUUGGCCGACCAUGCCCAAGAGGAAAGCCUCUGGUUUCUUCAAGAAAGUAUAUUUCAAUACCUUUUUUAGUUCAUUAUAUAUCAUUUCCCAGAAGGCCUUGAUCUUUGGGCACGUCCACCAAAGGUGAAAAAAGUACCUUCAUUUUCUUUACAUUUCCAACAUUUAUUAUCAGGCAGAUGAUAAAUUUUUGCUAGCUUGACUGGGGUUAAGUACCACCUGUAAAUCAUUUUCAUUAUAUUUUCUCUUAAGGCGUUACAGGCCGUAAAUUUCAUACCUGUGGUCCAUAACCGUUCCCAGUCAGCAAACAUAAUAUUAUGCCCCACAUCUUGCGCCCAUUUAAUCAUAGCAGAUUUAACCAUUUCAUCCUGUGUAUUCCAUUUCAACAGCAGAUUAUACAUUCUUGACAGAUUUUUGGUUUUAGGUUCUAACAAUUCCGUUUCCAGUUUAGAUUUUUCCUCCUGGAAACCUAUCUUUUUAUCUAAGUUAAAAACCUCCCUUAUUUGAUAAUAAUGCAGCCAAUCUCGAACUUUAGUUCUUAAUUUGUCAAAGCUCUGCAAUUUUAGUUUAUCUCCGACUUGUUCUAAAAUUUCGCAAUAUUUUGGCCAGUUUGUCUCCAUAUUUGUUUUUUUCAAAGCCUUAGCCUCCAUUGGUGACAGCCACCUUGGUGUUUUACUUUCCAACAAAUCCUUAUAUCUCACCCAAACAUUAAAUAAUGCUUUCCUGACAAUAUGAUUCUUGAAGGCCUUAUGCGCUUUGACUUUGUCACAGUGGGAUUAACUCUCAGUCUGUUCCACUAUUGAAUAGCUCUUAUCAUUAGAAGGUUCUCUCUGAUGUUUAUUUGAAAUCUCCUUUCUGGUUACUUGAAAACCCUGAUUUGGAGCAAGAGAAAACAAGCAUGUUCCAUCUUCCUGGUGACAGCUCUUGAGAUAUUUGAAAAUGGCUAUUAUUCCUCCCCUCAGUCUCAUCUUAGAUAAACAUACUAAACCCCUCAUCCGUUCUUCAUAAGGCUUGGUUUCCAGACCAUCUUUGAUGCCCUCCUCUGCCCAUGUUCUAGCUUGUCAAUAUCCUUCUUAAAUUGUGGUGAUCAAAACUGGACACAGACUUCAGGUGACCAAGGCAGAAUAGAGCAGUACUAUUAUUUCCUUUCAUCAGGACACUAUACUUCUGUUGAUGCAGAUCCCUUGAACCUUUCCACAUGUACUACUGGCAAGCCAAGUUUUACUCAUCUUAGAUUUGUGUAUUUGUCCCUAUUGUAAUUCAUGUUCUUACUUUUGUCCAAGUUUUAAAAUGUUUUAAGCUUAAUAGUAUCUAGAUCAGGGGUUGCUAAUGUGGGGUAAUGGGAGGUUUUCCCUUACAUGUCUGAGGUCUUUUUCUGACACUUACAAAGUCUCUGGUCUCUCUGGUCUCUCCCUGCAGUGACUUCGUUUUCGUGAGUCAGUGAUGGUCGUUGGAAUUCACUGAAUUCUAUACUUACUAAUAAGUACCUUUCAGUGCUGAAACAAAGCUUAGUCUAAGUUCAGAUUAUGAAAGCAUAAGGACAUUCAGCUUCAGAACAGGUUUUUAAAAAUACAUUCUUACUAAUACUCUAAUAGUUUAGGUAAAGUCUAGCAAAAUGGGCUGCUCAAAAGGCCUCUCCUAGACACACAAACAUGCAUACAUUUCAGUAUUCAUUUCUCUAUUCAGAAAUGGGAAUUUCUCCUAUAUUCUCUUAAUUCACAAGACAUUUGUUCCAUUUUAUUGCACCAGCAUAAGUCCCAUUCAUAUCUAAACUGGAUUCCCCCAGGUAAAAGGGUAAACAUUUGCUGCCUCACUCAUUAUUCUGAGGCCGCAACUCUAGGUUUGAUCAUUCCUUUGAUGUAAUAAAAUGAGUGGCUUAGUUCUUACACAAGCUCUUCAGGCAGUGCUGGUGGGGGUUCCUCAGUGAAUGUUGCUGGAGAGGAGAAGAAGCCACCAUGGAAAACAAUGCCACCAAUGAGGAACUCUCCUGGCUGAUGAUAUGUGUGAAGUGGAUGUUUUCGACCAUGGAGCCUGCAUUUUGCUAUGUGAGCCUCACAUAUAUUGUAAGAAAUCAGUUCAAGCAGCAAGAUCACUAAAAACACCAUCCUUAAUACAAAGGCAACUAUUUGUUUUAUGCAGAAACUAUGGUUUUUUCUGGCAAUACUACAAUAGGUUUCUCCAAGAUAAAAAUUGUCUCAUUUAAAUAAUAGAUUAAUUUCCCGAGAGGACACAAUACGGGAGUAUCCAAAAUUAGACUUGCUGAUCCCAGACAGUAUUUAAAUAAUUCUGGUUAAGUUGUAGUAUCCUUUGUGUUAUGUUGCCAGUGGCCAGAGAAAAUACACAGGGAUUUUUGAGGAGCAGCAUAUUAAUUAUAGCCCUGUUAAUAACCAAGCAGGAGUGUAGUUGUUCAUCCAAUGCUCGGGAUUCCCUGUGGAAGUGCAGAAGAAAAUUGCUGAAGAAAAUAUUCAGAACUGUUAUUUUAUUUUCCCUUUCAGAAGAUGAUAAUAGACCAGUGGUGUAUGGGUGAAAUGAGAAGUUAGAAGACCUUGUAGCCAAUGAAGACUCCAAAAUGAAGAAUGGUGUAGUCAGCAUCUUGGAAUUUGGCUGAGUGGACCUGGAUUCACACCAGCCAUAUGGCAUGUCUGCAAUGGCUGCUCAUUGCUGUUCUGUGGGAUUACAGUUGUGUCCCCUGGCUCUCAGCCUCCUUCCCCUGUGCCUUGGGAAUGCAUGUUUGCUCAAACCCUCAAGGGCAAAUGCCCCUGUGAUUCUGGAGAGGUUGAGUUGGUGCCCCAGGUCCUCCUGUAUGACUCCUUUUUAUUUUUUUUUAAUAUGUAUUCUGCUUCACUUCCAGUAGGGCAAGGGUUGGAGAUGUGUGGCACUCCAGAUGUUGAUGGAUUCCAAAACCAACCAACCCCAGCCAGUAUGGAAAAUGGUCAGCAAUGACGAGGGCUGUAGUCUAGCAAUAUCUGGAGGACUAUAGGCUUCCCAGCCAAAUUUUAGAGGAUUAAAAGUACAUAACAACAAAAGAAAUAAUAUGUCUGCCUGUGUUUUUAUAUCUGCUGUAAGCCACUCAAAGUGGCCGGGGAAACUCAGCCAGGUGGGUGGGUUAUAAAUAAUUAAAUUAUUAUUAUUAUUAUUAUUAUUAUUAUUAUUAUUAUUAUUAUCAGUCCUACUUCCUUCCAUUCCUGUCUCCACUUGAAUACCCUGGACCUUCUGCAAGGAGGGCAUAAUCUUACAGACAAAUCUUACAGACAAGCAGAUAACAAGAAAAGAAAUAAUAUGUUUUACUGUGUUAAAGUGGUUGGGGAACACAGCCAAAUGAGUGGGUUAUAAAUAACAAAUUUAUUACUAUCAUUAUCAUUAUUAUUAGUCCUACUUCCUUCUAUUCCUCUCUCCACUUGAAUACCCUGGACCUUCUGCAAGGAGGGCAUAAUCUUACAGACAAUACUUAACAAGCAUAGUCCACAGAUGUCCACAGAGAAAUAAAUGUUUUAAGGUUUAAUGGGGCUUACUCUGGUUUACUUGCAUUCUCCAUUCAUCAUGGUUAGAUCUAAUCAAUUUUAUCUGCUCAUCAAACAUUUGAUGAAGGGUGCCAACAGUCAGUGGAAUAUCCAACAAUAUACUUGUCACAUAUAUGAUACGUAUAUGUAUUAAGUAUAGAGUGUUCUGAUACAUCACAUGUGUUGGUGAAAUAAAACUUUUCAAUUGUUGCUCCCCAUCUGUCAAAUGCGUUGCACAGUGAGGUCUGCAUGGUCCUUUGCUGUCAUCUUUUCCAAGGACCAGAGGGCAGAAUUCAUUUACAUUUUCUUGUCUAGGACUCUGAAUUUCUCCAAGGAGACAUGAUUCAGAAAAAAUCUUGUGGGGAGGGGAACCCAAUUCAAUGGCGAGUAUGUUAUCUCACAGUACAUUGAUAAACUAUGGAACUCAAUGACAUAGGAAACAAUGGUGGGGACAGUGCAUUUGCGGCUUGACAGUUUCCCACAGGCAUCUGGUUGGUCAGUGAGAGUUCAAGCUGCGGGACCAGAUGGGCCAUUGGCCUGAUUUAAGAGGAUCAUCUUCCAUUUCUAUGAUCUUGGUUAUGGAUAGGUUGAUGGUGAAAUAUGACUGUUAGCAGAACAGAACAAUAAUUCAUAAAUGAGUAUUCGUAUGUUCGAUGGCCACAAUUGUACAGUUUCACAGAUCCUAUUAUGUUGAAAGCUGUAAGACAACUUUGAUCAUUCAGAAUUAAGGACAGAUAAAGAUUUCCUUGCAUAUAUUUUGACAAGAAUUGUUCUGAGUCUUCUUGUCAGCACAUGCUACAAGAGAAUAAUGAAUGUGUAAACAUAAGAUUCUUUUCUUCAAAGCAGAUAAGUCAGUUUUACAAAUGAAUUUUCAACUAUGGGAAUUUGGAUUCUAGAAAAAAAUAUAAAAGGCAGCAGCUGAACUUAUAUUUCCAAAUAUUCUACAGUUCACAGAGAAAAGCACGAAAGACAGCAAAGGGCAGGUUUAUUAUUUCUUUAAUUUUUCUUCCUUAUUAGCUGUUCUCUAUUGUUCAGCUCAGGCCUCAGAAUAAUUAUAUAACAUUUGGGGGAAAAGAUGCAACCCAGCAACCCACCACCGGAGGCUAAGAUGGAGAAGAUCUCCACAGCUACCAUGUAUUUUCCCUUGGUGCUCAGGUAGGAGGGAAUAAAGGACAGCCAAACACUGCAGAAGACCAACAUGCUGAAAGAGAUAAACUUGGCUUCGUUGAAACUGUCCGGUAACUUCCUGGCGAGGAAAGCCACAGCAAAGCUUACAGUUGCCAGGCAGCUCAUGUAGAUGAGGACACAGUAAAACAUUGUUACAGACCCUUCAUUACAUUCUAGUAUAAUUUCUUCUGUCAUUGAGUGCAUGUCCACAUCUGGGUAUGGGGGAGAGGUUGCCAGCCACACAGUACAUAUCCCUGCUUGAACAAUGGAGCAGGAAAGGAGAAUGGAGUGGCCUAGUCCUUUCCCCACCCAUUUCCUCAUCCUGGAUUCUGGUUUUGUAGCCAUGAAGGCCAAAACCACCAUGAAGGUUUUUGCCAGGACACAGGAAACAGCGGUUGAGAAGAUGAUACCAAAAGCUGGUUGCCGGAGGAGACAUGUGACCUUUUCAGGUCGGCCAAUGAAGAGCAAUGCACAAAGGAAGCAGAGCAGGAGAGAGAUGAGGAGAGUAUAGGUGAGGUUUCGGUUGUUUGCAAUGACAAUGGGUGUGUCGUGGUGCUUCAUAAAUAUACCUAGUAGCAGAGCUGUGAUCAAGGAAAGGGAAAGAGAGAAACAGGCCAAACUGAUGCCCAAAGGUUCUUCAUAAGACAAGAAGCUUAUAUCCUUGGGUAGACAGGCAUCCCGGUUCUUGCUUGGAUAGUCUUUGUCUGGGCAUUUAUUACAGUCAUUCAUAUCUGGGGAGAAUAGAAAUAUAUUAGGUCAUACAUUUGAAUUUGGUGAAAUGUUUACUUUCUGUCUGUGAAAGUAAUGAUAACUACAGAGUCUGGAUCUAUUUAAUCUAUUUAUUUCUCCUACCAUCCUGGUUUGCAAUCUUUCCCUCUGCACAUGGGAUGCAAUCGUAGCAGCAAGGUGGCUGUCCCUCCUUGACUUUCUUGCUGGAUCCUGGAAGACAUGUCUCAGUACAGAGAGAAAGAGGCCGAGUCUAUUCCGUAAAUGAAAGAGCAGAAGGAUCAGCAAGAGAACAAUGAGUUUGGAAAUCUUCAUGUUCCUGGGCCCCUCUCUAUGUUACUAAGCUGAGUCAGCCUUUCAGCAAGAUUUAGAAUGGCUAUAUUUUUUUAGUAGUAGUAAUGUUUGAAGUGAUGUCAUACUCCCUCUAUUGUUCUGGGAUGUGUAGUUUUUACAUAGCAGCUCCCCACAUUUAGCAAGAAAGGCAAAAUCUUGGGGCUUAUCUAUCCUCUUUUCUUCAGUUAAAAAUCAGUAUUUUAUAAUUGUUAAGAGAUAUUCAUAAAAUAUUUAUAAAUAUAAUAUAAUAAAAUAAAAUAUUUGCCUUUAUUCCUUGAGUGACUUCUAGAAGUAAGCUUUUGGCUCUUAAUGUGGUACUUGGAUGCUUUGGUCAUAUUCUACACAGUGACAUGUAGUUUAAAAGACAAUGAGUAGACAUGCAGGUGAAUAUUCAUUGCUUAUGCAAGACUGAAUCACCUUGGAAUUAUAUAACAAUUUGGCCCUACCUGAUUAAACCAACCGUUCCAUGUUAUGGCAUCUUCAUCAAGGAUGAAUGAUUGGUCUGGAGAAGCCUGUGGAUCUAUCCUCCCAACACUCACUCUUUGCAAACUUUGGUUGUUGAAUAUAAUCCAAUUGACAAUAUUCAAGCUAGAUACCACCUCACCAUGCUGGUUGAUGAAGACCACAUCUCCAGCCGUAUUGUUAAAUGAGAUACUUCUCAGAAAGUGAUGGAGCUAGAUUGAAAACAGAAAAAGCACGUUUGUAAAAGGCUGCAGUUCUAAUACAUGGCUAAGGUAUCUUUAUCCUGUGGGCUGGACCUACAGCAAGUGGUGGGUGGUGAUACAGUAAACUGUGAGUGGGGUCAGGUCCAGGGAUGGAGAGACCACCAAUUUUCUCUCUCCCACAUCCCUCUCCCUCUCUUUCCCCGUUUUAACAACCUUUCUUUAUCUCCCCCGCCCCACACCUCUUUUCCUCUGUCCCUAUUCAUCUCAGGAGACACCAGAGUGGUGUGUGAUCACCUGAUCUGAGGGAAGAUUUGGUGUAUAUGGGAUAGAGAGAAUGCUGAACAUCUCUCUUGACCAUUACCACUGCCUCUUAUCUGUGAAUGCAGUGGCAUCCCAGUGGUCUCCAUACUUCUCCCAUGAAAGUGAUAUUCCUUGUCAGAGAUGAAAGAGCAAGUUGACAACAUUUUGGAAACCCAUACCUUGUGGGGUAAUAACAGGCCUCUUCCAAUUGAGAAAGUUUAGCCUAUUACCUGCCAAAACUGUUGAUUCUGAUUCUCCCCUCUCCCUCUGUACGCCAUUCCUCUGUGCCUGAGUCUGGAUGAGAACAUCGCAUGUAAAGCAUGGGCCAUGGCGUAGACAGCACUGUGGAUGCUGUAACUGUGGCCUGUCAUGCUCAUUUCAAAAAAUGAUCCGGGAAGGCUCUCCAGCUUCUCUUCUCCGGUGCAAAUAUUCCCCUCCACCUUGUCUGCAGUAAUAUCUGGGAACACACAUUCAAAAGCCUGUUGCCAGAAGUCACUGAUAAAACCGUCCCCAUCUGUGCUGGAAGGGUUUCUGUGCACAACAUAUUGAUGAAAUCCUGGUGGGUUUCUGAAGUGAAUUUCAAAGGAUAUAGCACCAUUGAAUAUUCCUGCAUCCCAGUUCCUUUGAAUGACUAAUGAAGUGAACUCCACCUGGGCCGUUAUUAUCCAUACUUUACUUUUUAUAUUGUAUGUCAUGUCAUCAUGUAUUGAUAGGUAUGGAAGCCAUCUCAAAAUUGCCAUGUAAUAAGAUUCUCCAUAGGCAACUAUUAUAUUAGCUGUGCUGCUAAAAAUUUUAUGAUUUAUACUUGCCUCCUGUUGUAGCAUGCCAUUUAUUUCAGAAAUAAAACUUAAACUGGGGAUUCUUUCUAGGAAUGCAAAGCAGACACCACUCUUGGUAAAUAUUGGAGAGAUGGUUUGCAGAAAUCUUUCUCCAUUGUCAUUGUCCAUUGCAAUGACUCCAGUCCACGUCCACCUGAAAUGCAGAAGCAAAGAGAGAAUUCCCUGAUACUGAAGGGCUUCUGAGGCUGCCAUCUGGUAGAAGGGAAGCCCUGGGCUUUUAUCAUUCAUCACCGGAGCAGAGCCAUAAAUGAGCUAAAAAGUAAGUGGAGGAAGAGAAGACACAAAGUAGAUUCCUUUCACAGUAUUCAUAUACAUUAUGUGGUGAACCCUGUUAGUCAAAUAUGCCCUUUGUCAACAUUUCAGGGUUUGGUGCAUCUCUCUCAUUUAUACAAAAGACAUACAUGCAGAUGGGCUGAAAACUGGGAUCAUCUUCCAUUUGUGGUUUGGAAACCUGUGCUUUGCUGAAUGGAGAGGGGCACUGUGUCUGUUUUUUUACUAUCUUUAUGAAUCUUGUUAACACUUGGUGUCUGGAGCAGGGCAUAGUGUCUACUUCACUUAAAAACAAACAAAAGUUUUUUUAUGUCAUUACAAAAUUUCACAGGGUCUUGUACAAUGGAUAAAACUGGAUGGGGGAACAUACCAUGCCCCCAACAGCAGAUUUCCUGGACAUUAUCUGGCUUUGUCAGAAUUGCAACUUGGGUUAGAUGCACAUUUCUUCUCUGGAGCUUCGUCUUUCUUCUUCAUGAUGCACAUGCCCCAUCACACAGCAAAACUGUGCUGAUUCUUCUCAGACUUUAUUUAUGAACAUUUAUUUCACUUGUGAAUCAGCUGCUAACUACUUUUACUGUUCGCCUGCGGAACUGGACGGUAUCUGCAGUUUGCCAUAACUUCUCUGUAUCUUUAAUUAUGUUGGGUGUGCUAAAGAGGAAUAGUUAUUGUACUGGCUCCUACCUGUAAGGGUUUUGUAGCUGUAAGCAUUUCCCCCACUUCCCCAGCUUAUUUGACAUGACCUCCUCACUAAUUUUUCCACUGGCACCUAAAAUCUUAUUUCUUUUAUCCAGUAAGCAAUUCCCGCCUUUACUCAGCAGCUCAAUUCAGAUACCCUCCUAACUAAGCAGAAAAUGAUGCAUAACCAAAAACUGCUGGUGAGAGAGAAGCCCACUCUCCCAUCAGUGGCAUUUGUUAAAUACUGUAAAUAAUCUAAAUUUGUGUGUAAGACGGGAGAGUUACACAUUUUUUUCAGGUAUUGCAGUAAAGGUAAAGGGACCCCGGACCAUUAGGUUCAGUCGUGACCGACUCUGGGGUUGUGGCCCUCAUCUCGCUUUAUUGGCCGAGGGAGCCGGCAUACAGCUUCCAGGUCAUGUGGCCAGCAUGACUAAGCCACUUCUGGCAAACCAGAGCAGCGCACGGAAACGCCAUUUACCUUCCCGCAGGAGCGGUACCUAUUUAUCUACUUGCACUCUGACGUGCUUUCAAACUGCUAGGUUGGCAGGAGCUGGGACAGAGCAACGGGAGCUCACCCCAUCGGGGGAUUUGAACCGACGACCUUCUGAUUGGCAAGCCCUAGGCUCUGUGCUUUAACCCACAGCGCCAACCACGUCCCCACAGGUAUUGCAACCUUCCCCUUUAUUCAGGUUUGUCUGUCUGUCUGUCUGUCUGUCUGUCUGUCGUUUGCUUAUAUUACAAUUAUGUACCACCUUUAUUUUCCAAGAAUCUCAAGGUGGUGUACAUGGUUCUCCUUGCAAUUUCAUCUUCACCCGGAACUGAUGCUGAGGAACCUGCCUCUUCUCUAUGCAAGCUAAUAGAGGUAUUGAUCAUGAGUGUCCUACCUGCGGAAUCUUAUAGAUAUCCAAAAUAGUUGCCACAUAAAAGGAGAUUUCAGAAUCCAGUCCCCCAAUGACCCCAGUCAGAUUAUUUUCAACAUCACAUAUAUAGUUAGGGACAAUUUUUUCCACCAUGGAUAAAAGCAGCAGUGUGGUGAGAUAUGUGCUCCUUGCACUGAUAUAGCUAUCAUAUAAGUGGAAGCCCAAGGUGAUAUUGGGUAAGAUGUGAGAGUCUUCAUUGAUCUCCUUGACUGCAAAUGCCAAGGCCACAAUGUGCUGGUAAAGCUUAGGCACCACCCUAGAAUGAGAGUUGCAAAUGUAUCAGCAGGAACUUCAAAAGGCGUAUUCUUUUACAUAUCAACAGAGUAGUUAAUCAUAUUGAGUUCAGUGGGGUGAACUCUCAGUCUGAUCCACUAUUGAAUAGCUCUUAUCAAUAGAAGGUUCUCUCUGAUGUUUAUUUGAAAUCUCCUUUCUUGUAAAUUGAAUACCCUGAUUUGGAGCAAGAGAAAACAAGCGUGUUCCAUCUUCCUGGUGACAGCUCUUGAGAUAUUUUACAAUGGCUAUCAUUCCUCUCCUCAGUCUCAUCAUAGAUAAACAUACCAAACCCCUUAUCUGUUCCUCAUAAGGCUUGGUUUCCAGACCAUCUUUGUUGCCCUCCUCUGCACAUGUUCCAGCUUGUCGAUAUCCUUCUUAAAUUGUGGUGAUCAGAACUGGACACAGACUUCAGGUGACCAAGGCAGAAUAGAGCAGUACUAUUACUUCCUUUGAUUAGGACACUAUAAUUCUGUUGAUGCAGAUCCCUUGAACCUUUCCACAUGUAUUACUGGCAAGCCAAGUUUUCCUCAUCUUAGAUUUGUGUAUUUGUAGGUACCGCUCUUACUUUUGUCCAAGUUUUUAAAUAUUUUAAGCUUAAUAGAAUCUAGAUCAGGGGUUGCUAAUGUGGGGCUCAUGGGAUGUCGUCCCUUACAUGUCUGAGGUCUUUUUCUGACACUUACAAAGUCUCUGGUCUCUCUGGUCUCUCCCUGCAGUGACUUCAUUUUCGUGAGUCAGUGAUGGUCGUUGGAAUUCACUGAAUUCUAUACUUACUAAUAAGUACCUUUCAGUGCUGAAACAAAGCUUAGUCUAAGUUCAGAAAAUGAAAGCAUAAGGACAUUCAGCUUCAGAACAGGUUUUUAAAAAUACAUUCUUACUAAUACUCUAGUAGUUUAGGUAAAGUCGAGCAAAAUGGGCUGCUCAAAAGGCCUCUCCUAGACACACAAACAUGCAUACAUUUCAGUAUUCAUUUCUCUAUUCAGAAAUGGGAAUUUCUCCUAUAUUCUCUUAAUUCACAAGACAUUUGUUCCAUUUUAUUGCACCAGCAUAAGUCCCAUUCAUAUCUAAACUGGAUUCCCCCAGGUAAAAGGGUAAACAUUUGCUGCCUCACUCAUUAUUCUGAGGCUGCAACUCUAGGUUUGAUCAUUCCUUUGAUGUAAUAAAAUGAGUGGCUUAGUUCUUACACGAGCUCUUCAGGCAGUGCUGGUGGGGGUUCCUCAGUGAAUGUUGCUGGAGAGGUGAUGAAGCCACCAUGGGAAACUAUGCCACCAAUGAGGAACUCUCCUGGCUGAUGAUACAUGUGAAGUGGAUGGUGUGGACCUUGGAGCCUGCAUUUUGCUAUGUGAGCCUCACAUACAUUGUAAGAAAUCAGUUCCAGCAGCAAGAACACUAAAAACACCAUCCUUAAUACAAAGGCAACUAUUUGUUUUAUGCAGAAACUAUGUUUUUUUCUGGCAAUACUAGAAUAGGUUUUUCCAAGAUAAAAAUUGUCUCAUUUAAAUGGUAGAUUAAUUUCCUUAGAGUACACAAUAUGGAAGUAUCCAAAAUUAGACUUGCUGAUCCCAGACAGUAUUUAAAUAAUUCUGGUUAAGUUGUAGUAUCCUUUGUGUUAUGUUGCCAGUGGCCAGAGAAAAUACACAGGGAUUUUUGAGGAGCAGCAUAUUAAUUAUAGCCCUGUUAAUAACCAAGCAGGAGUGUAGUUGUUCAUCCAAUGCUCGGGAUUCCCUGUGGAAUUGCAGAAGAAAAUUGCUGAAGAAAAUAUUCAGAACUGUUAUUUUAUUUUCCCUUUCAUUAGAUGAUAAUAGACCAGUGGUGUAUGGGUGAAAUUAGACGUUAGAAGCUCAUAAUAGAAUACCUUGUAGCCAAUGAAGACUCCAAAAUGAAGAAUGGUGUAGUCAGCAUCUUGGAAUUUGGCUGAGUGGACCUGGAGUCACACCAGCCAUAUGGCAUGACUGGAAUGGCUGUUCAUUGCUGUUCUGUAGGAUUACAGUUGUGUCCACUGGCUCUCGGCCUCCUUCCCCUGUGCCUUGGGAAUGCAUGUUUGCCCAAACCCUCAAGGGCCAAUGCCCCUGUGAUUCUGGAGAGGCUGAGUUGCUGCUCAAGGUCCUCCUGUAUGACUCCUUUUAUAGAGGCUUGUGUAAAAUCUCUCUUGAUUCUGUCAGCCUCCAUGAGCUAGAAACUUAGGGAGAAAAAGUAUUUCUGAAAUCUCUCAGACCCCACAGUUCAUCCAGGUGCAGCUGAGGGUGGUCAUGAUUCCCAAAGUUGCUGAGCCUGACUUUCUAGCCUUUUGGGUGAAUUUAAUUCAGUGUCCACCUUCAUUCAGUGAUGCUGAUAUCUCUGGCUUCUUCUGCAAACUUUUGAAUUUUAUUUUUUAAAUAUGUAUUCUGCUUCACUUCCACUAGGGCAAGGGUUGGGGAUGUGUGGCACUCCAGAUGUUGAUGGAUUCCAAAACCAACCAACCCCAGCCAGUAUGGAAAAUGGUCAGCAAUGAUGAGGGCUGUAGUCUAGCAAUAUCUGGAGGACUAUAGGCUUCCCAGCCAAACUUUAGGGGAUUAAAAGCAAAUAACAAGAAAAGAAAUAAUAUGUUUGCCUGUGUUUUUAUAUCUGCUGUAAGCCACUCAAAGUGGCCGGGGAAACUCAGCCAGGUGGGUGGGUUAUAAAUAAUAAAAUUAUUAUUAUUAUUAUUAUUAUUAUUAUUAUUAUUAGUCCUACUUCCUUCCAUUUCUGUCUCCACUUGAAUACCCUGGACCUUCUGCAAGGAGGGCAUAAUCUUACAGACAAUACUUAACAAGCAUAGUCCACAGAUGUCCACAGAGAAAUAAAUGUUUUAAGGUUUAAUGGGGCUUACUCUGGUUUACUUGCAUUCUCCAUUCAUCAUGGUUAGAUCUAAUCAAUUUUAUCUGCUCAUCAAACAUUUGAUGAAGGGUGCCAACAGUCAGUGGAAUAUCCAACAAUAUACUUGUCACAUAUAUGAUACAUAUAUGUAUUAAGUAUAGAGUGUUCUGAUACAUCACUUAAUAUUAAAUACUGGUUUUGAACUGAGUGAAAGACUAUGUAAGAUUAAAAAGGAUGUGUACAAAAAAUGGAAAAGGGGGGAAACCACCAAAGAGGAAUUCAAACAAAUAGCCAGCACGUGUAGACACAAAGUCAGAAAAGCUAAAGCACAGAAUGAACUCAGGCUUGCUAGAGAGGUUAAAAGCAACAAAAAGGCUUUUAUGGGUAUGUUCGUAGCAAAAGGAAGAACAAAGAAACAGUGGGGUCACUCAGAGGAGAAGAUGGUGAAAUGCAAACAGGGGACACAGAAAGGGCUGAACUCCUCAAUGCCUUCUUUGCCUCAGUCUUCUCCGAUAAAGAAAACAAUGCCCAACCUGAAGAAUUUGGAGCAAAUGAUUCAGCAGAGGAAACACAGCCCAGAAUAACUAAGGAGAUAGUACAAGAAUACUUGGCUAGUUUAGAUGUAUUCAAGUCUCCAGGGCCAGAUGAACUGCAUCCAAGAGUAUUAAAAGAACUGGCAGAUGUGAUCUCAGAACCACUGGCAGUCAUCUUUGAGAAUUCCUGGAGAACAGGCGAAGUCCCGGCAGACUGGAGGAGGGCAAAUGUUGUCCCUAUUUUCAAAAAGGGGAAAAGAGAGGACCCAAAGAAUUACCGCCCAGUCAGUCUGACAUCAAUACCAGGGAAGAUUCUGGAGCAGAUCAUUAAGCAAACAGUCUGUGAGCACCUAGAAAGGAAUGCUGUGAUCACCAAUAGUCAGCAUGGAUUUCUGAAAAAUAAGUCAUGUCAGACUAACCUGAUCUCGUUUUUUGACAGAAUUACAAGCCUGGUAGAUGAAGGGAACGCAGUGGAUGUAGCCUACCUUGAUUUCAGCAAGGCAUUUGACAAGGUGCCCCAUGAUAUUCUUGUAAAGAAGCUGGUAAAAUGCGGUCUUGACUAUGCUACCACUCAGUGGAUUUGUAACUGGCUGACUGACCGAACCCAAAGGGUGCUCAUCAAUGGUUCCUCUUCAUCCUGGAGAAGAGUGACUAGUGGGGUGCCACAGGGUUCUGUCUUGGGCCCGGUCUUAUUCAACAUCUUUAUCAACGACUUGGAUGAUGGACUCAAGGGCAUCCUGAUCAAAUUUGCAGAUGACAUCAAACUGGGAGGGGUGGCUAACACCCCAGAGGACAGGAUCACACUUCAAAAUGACCUUGACAGAUUAGAGAACUGGGCCAAAACAAACAAGAUGAAUUUUAACAGGGAGAAAUGUAAAGUAUUGCACUUGGGCAAAAAAAUGAGAGGCACAAAUACAAGAUGGGGGACACCUGGCUUGAGAGCAGUACAUGUGAAAAGGAUCUAGGAGUCUUGGUUGACCACAAACUUGACAUGAGCCAACAGUGUGACGCGGCAGCAAAAAAGCCAAUGCAAUUCUGGGCUGCAUCAAUAGGAGUAUAGCAUCUAGAUCAAGGGAAGUAAUAGUGCCACUGUAUUCUGCUCUGGUCAGACCUCACCUGGAGUACUGUGUCCAGUUCUGGGCACCACAGUUCAAGAAGGACACUGACAAACUGGAACGGGUCCAGAGGAGGGCAACCAAAAUGGUCAAAGGCCUGGAAACAAUGCCUUAUGAGGAAUGGCUAAGAGAGCUGGGCAUGCUUAGCCUGGAGAAGAGGAGGUUAAGGGGUGAUACAAUAGCCAUGUUCAAAUAUAUAAAAGGAUGUCACAUAGAGGAGGGAGAAAGGUUGUUUUCUGCUGCUCCAGAGAAGCGGACACGGAGCAAUGGAUCCAAACUACAAGAAAGAAGAUUCCAUCUAAACAUUAGGAAGAACUUCCUGACAGUAAGAGCUGUUCGACAGUGGAAUUUGCUGCCAAGGAGUGUGGUGGAGUCUCCUUCUUUGGAGGUCUUUAAGCAGAGGCUUGACAACCAUAUGUCAGGAGUGCUCUGAUGGUGUUUCCUGCUUGGCAGGGGUUGGACUCGAUGGCCCUUGUGGUCUCUUCCAGCUCUAUGAUUCUAUGAUUCUAUGAUCAUGAACUGGGCUGAUGGAGGCAGGUAAAUAAACAAACAGGGCCCAAAUAUAUGGUGACCACAAUGAGGUGAGAGGUGCAUGUGGAGGCAGCCUUGGUGGUUUCUUCAGUGGGACCCUGGGAGCAGAUUGUGUAGAGAAUGAAUCCAUAUGAGAUGAGCAGGCCAAUAAAAGAAACUAGUGACAAAAUUCCACUGUUGGUGACCAUCAUGACUUCCAAGGGAUUUGUGUCCAUGCAAGCCAACUUGAUGACCAUGGAGAGGUCCCAGAAGAAGCUGUCCACUUGAUUUUGCCCACAGAAAGGCACAUUAAUGAUGAAACGCAAUUGCACAGUGCCAUGGAGGAGCCCACCAGCCUAGGAGGCAAGGAGAAGUGCCAUGCAAUGACGCCGGCUCAUGAAGCAUAACAGAGGAGAUGGGAAACGGCCAAUUGCCAAGGCUACCAGCAGGAGCAUCUUGCAGCCUACAAACACAUGGAGAAAGAAGAUUUGUGCCAUGCAGCUCUGGAAGGAGAUGAUCUGAUGUUGGGCAAGGAAAUCCAAGAGAGAUCUUGGGAUGGCAAAGGAGGAUAGGCAGAGGUCCAGGAAAGCCAAGUGACCUAGCAAAAAGAACAUGGGUGAAUCUGAAAGACAGUGAUCCUGGAAAAUGGCUGAGAAAAUGAGAGCGUUGCUGAUAGAAGACUCCAAAAUUAGCAUGGUGUGGUCAGCAUCUUGGAAUUUGGCUGAGUGGACCUGGAUUCACACCAGCCAUGUGGUAUGUGUGCAAUGGCCACUCUUGGCUGUUCUGGGGGAUUACAGUUGUGUCCCCUUCCUCUCAGCCUCCUUCCGCAAUGGCCUAGGCACACACGCUUGCCCACACCCCCAUGGGCAAAUGCCUCUGUAACUCUGGAGAGGACCCCACAGUUCAUCCAGAUGCAGCUGAGGGUGGAUAAGAUUCCCAAAGUUGCUGAGCCUGACUUUCCAGGUUUUUGGUGAAUUUUAAUUCUGCAUCCAAAUGCAUUCAGUGAUGCUGAUGUCUCUGGCUUCUUCAGAUGCUGAUGGAUUCCAAAACCCACCAACCCCAGUCAGUAUGGAAAAUGGUCAGCAAUGAUGAGGGCUGUAGUCUAGCAAUAUCUGGAGGGCUAUAGGCUUCCCAUCCCUGCACUAGGGGGACGGAAAGCAGAUAGCAAGAUAAGAAAUAAUAUGUUUUACAGUGUUUUUAUAUCUGCUGUAAGCCACCCAAAGUGGCUGGGGAAACCCAGCCAGAUGGGUGGGUUAUAAAUAAUAAAAUUAUUACUAUCAUUAUCAUCAUUAUUUGCCCUAAUUCUGUCCAUUCCUGUCAUCACUUGAAUACCUGGACCUUUUGCAAGGGGGGCAUAAUCUUAUAGACACUCAUUAACAAACCUAGUUAGCUUGCUCUAUAACAGUACAGAUGUCUACUCAGAAAUAAGUGUUUUAAGAUUUAAUGGGCCUUGCUCCCAGAAAAGUGAGCACAAGCUGGCAAUGUAGGCUCUGGUUUAUGGUUGAAAUUUAGGGAAAGCUGUGGCUUUGUGCCCUUAAGAGCUGUAUAACAGGAGGUAUAAUUCAGAGGUUAAGCCUGGAUUCUAGAAAGCUGAGGUCCGUUAUGGGAAUACACAUGCAACCUGAAGUCUCUUUGUCCUCUUUGAUUCCACUUUCAAUCUGAUUAAGCUCUGGUUUACUUGUAUUCUCCAUUCAUCAUGGUUAGGUCUAAUCAAUUUUAUCUGCUCAUCAAACAUUUGCUGAAGGAUGCCAACAGUCAGUGGAAAGUCCAACAAUAUACUUUCCACAAAUACAAUACAUAUUUGUGUUAAGAAUAUAGUGUUCUGAUCCAUCACUUGUGUUGGUGAAAAUAAAACGUUUCAGUUGUGGCUUUGUCAAAUGCUUUUCCCAGUGAACUGUGCAUGGUUCUUUGUUGCCAUCUUUUCCAAGCACCAGGGCAGAAAUCAUUCACAUUUUCUUAUCUAGUUCUCUGAAUUUCACCAAGGAGACCUGAUUCAGACAAAAUCUUGGGGGGAGGGAACCCAAUUCAAUGGGGGGUAUAUUAUUUCACAGUACAUAGAUAAUCUAUGGAACUCACUGCCAUAGGAAGGAAUGGUGGAGACACUGCAUUUGCUUUUGGAUACGGCUUGAAGAAGAAGAAGAGGAAGAGUUUGGAUUUGAUAUCCCGCCUUUCACUCCCCUUCAGGAGUCUCAAAGCAGCUAACAUUCUCCUUUCCCUUCCUCCCCCACAACAAAUACUCUGUGAGGUGAGUGGGGCUGAGAGACUUCAAAGAAGUGUGACUGGCCCAAGGUCACCCAGCAGCUGCAUGUGGAGGAGCGGAGACACGAACCCGGUUCCCCAGAUUACAUGACUACCGCUCUUAACCACUACACCACACUGGCUCUCUCUUGAAGGUUUAAUCUCACUGUAAACAAGUGGUACAGUUACAAUAAAGUAUUUCUAUUUCCCACAGCAAUCUGGUUGGUCAGUGUGAGUACAGGCUACCAUACAAGAUGGGCCAUUGGCCUGACUCAAGAGAAUCAUCUUACAUUUCUACGAUCUUUUUUUUUUAAAAAAUGAUAUUUAUUAAGAAAUUUAAAAUUAGAGAAAAAACAAAGAGAAAAAGAAGGAAAAAACAAAGGAAAAACAAACAGCAAUCAAACAAUACAAAUCGAUAAAAAUCAAAAACAAAAAACAAAAACAAAACACAUAACACAUCAAAAUCAAAAAGCAAAAAUAAACCACAAAAAUUUAAAAACAGAUCCAAUAUUCCCAAAUCCUUAACUGUCAUUACCUUAUUUCAUCGACCUCCUCACCCCUCCCCUGUUGUAUUCUAGUUGUUAAUUAUCACAGCAAAUCCUUUCCAUUUUUCAUAAUAUUCUGUCAUUAAAUUACCUUAAUCUAUUUUAACCUUAUCUUACUAUAAAAGACCCUAAAACUUAAAACUUAAAUCUUAUUUAUACCAAUUUCUCAUAACCAUAGCACAUUCUUACAUAGUUCUUUUUAACCUUUCUGCUCAAGCCAAAUAGUUUCGUUCCAACAUUUUUCUAAUACUCAUUAAUUUUAGAAAACAAUCCCAAAUAAAAAAUAUAAAACUUUCUUCCAAUCUUCAUCCAACAUCUCUUCCUCCUGGUCCCAGGUUUUGUCAGUCCUUUCUAUCCCAUCCAUCUAGCUCAUUAACCUGGUAAUCUUAUGUCCAAGGCCCUUAAGUCUCUUCCAUGUCCCAUCCGCAGAUCUUCUUCAUAUUUAUACCUGUACUUUACUUUGUCUCCUGCUCCUUUCACUCGUGGAAACUCCAACUUGACAGUAUUUUUGUCCCUUCUCGACAGAUCAGCCCCUUUUCCAUAGUCCACACUGAACUCCAUGUGGUAUUUAAAAGCAUGUUUCAAGGUCCCUCCAGAGUUGAGGACCCCCACAACCCCAAACUCCUCACGGCCCAUUGCCAGACUUGAAAAGUCAAAACAUCCCUGCAUAGGGGGGUCUACCCAGCCCCCCAUCUCCAAGCCAAACAAAACUCUAUCUCUCCAAAUCUGGCUUUUUCUAAGUUCAUUUGUCAGAUCCAACAACUCAUGUUCCUGCUGGGCCACAGCUCCCUCCAUCUCUGCCACCCGAGGUCCAGCAACAACCUCCUCCCUCAUCUGAUCUGUCAGAGCACACUCCUGAGUUGAUUCCUGGGUGGGUUCUAUAUAGAUACCCACUACCUGUCCAAAAUUUCUGAUCGCAACAGUCAUCAAAUCCGUCUUCUCAUGUAACUGUUCCAAUAAAGCACUUGUCUUGCAGAAAGCACGAACCAGAGCCUCUGAGUACAUUGUUAUGCAAGGUCAGAAGUCUGUUCCCACGAUCUUAAUCUAUUGCAGCUGCGAAGCUCCCCAGUUCAAAUUUAAUAACAGUUUCACAAGCUCCCUCUAGGGGAAGAACUUCUAUUUGUAUCCAUCUCUCUCUUUUUUUUAAAAAAAGCAGAUCUAACAACAAAGUUUCCUUUUUCAGAUAUUUUGUCAAUAUUUGUUCCUUUAAAAUGCGAAGGAGAACAAUGGAAUCACUAUGUUUCUCUUCUUUUAACUGUCUGUCAAAAACAUUUGUCUAUAGUCAAUGAACUUCCCAAAAACGUCUGUCCUGACACCCCGCUCCCAGGUUCAAGACGGUGGAAAAUUACUUUUCUUUACACUCUCUUCUGCAGGUUUAAACAAUCCGGAAAAAAUCCCCCCUCUUCUCCUGCUUCUGAAGGGGGUUCAGUAAUUUUAGAUUAUGAAAGUUGAUCCUUUACAAACGAUUUUCUGAACUCUAGUUUGCCAUGUCUUUGCUUUAAUCUAUCUACAAGAAAUGGAAGGCUGACUUCCUGUUUAGACCUUCCCGCUUCAGUGCCAAAUUAAGAGGAAUUUCUUAAUCCAAUUUUCCGUUCUACUCACAGGUCGUUGUUUCAGGUCCAAUUGUCCAAACUUAAUCUACUCACGGGUAGUUGUUUUUGUAGCCAAAUUGUCCCAGGAAAAAGGUAGCGCUCUCCGGCAACGGCUGUGCGGCUUCGCUCCACGGAAGCAGCAGUUGACUCUCAGCACCGCGCCACUUGCCCCUCUUCGCUCCGGAGCCCGAAAUUGGGUUCCUUUACGAAUUGGGGGGGCGCGAAAGGUGCCCGCCGAGUCCCAUGGUCACAGGCUUCAUCUGCCUGUGAAUUUUUAAAGGGUCCCCGCUUCGCCGUAGCGGAACAGACCCGUUUUCCAUAGAGCCAGUCCCUCCGGAUCAGAGGGAAUCCGCCAUUACCAAUGGCGCCACCCCGGAAGUACAUUUCUACGAUCUUGAGUAUGGAUAGGUUGAUGAUGAAAUCUGAUGGUGAGCAGUAGAGAACAAUAGACCAUAAAUGAAUACUCAAAUAUUCCAUGGCUGCAAUAGUACAGUUUCACAUUAUGCUGAAAGCUGUGAGAAUUAAGGCUAGAUACAGAUUUGCUUACAUUUAUAUUUUGACAAGAAUUGCUCUGUUACCUUGUCAACACAUGCUACAAGAGAAUAAUGUUUUUCCCAGUAGUGAUAUAUGGAAGUGAGAGCUGGACCAUAAAGAAGGCUGAUCGCCAAAGAAUGAAUGCUUUUGAAUUAUGGUGCUGGAGGAGACUGUUGAGAGUCCCAUGGACUGCAAGCAGAUCAAACGUAUCCAUUCUUCAGGAAAUCAGCCCUGUGUGCUCACUGGAAGGACAUAUUGUGAAGCUGAGGCUCCAAUACUUUGGCCACCUCAUGAGAAGAGAAGACUCCCUGGAAAAGACCCUGAUGUUGGGAAAGAUUGAGGGCACAAGGAGAAGGGGACGACAGAGGACAAGAUGGUUGGACGGUGUUCUCGAAGCUACAAACAUGAGUCUGACCAAACUGCGGGAGGCAGUGGAAGACAGAAGUGCCUGGCGUGCUCUGGUCCAUGGGGUCACGAAGAGUCGGACACGACUAAACAACAACAAAUGUAUGAUUGUUUUCCUCAAAGCAAAUAAGUCAAUUUUACAAAGGAAAUUUCAACUAUGGGAAUUUGGAGUCUAGAAAAAUUGUUAAGGGGAGCAGCUGAACUUAUAUUUCCAACUAUUCUACUGUAAACACAGAGAAAACACAAAAUACAGCAGAUGACAGGUUUCUCAUUUCUUUAAUUUUUCUUCCUUAUUAGCUGUUCCCUAUUGUUGAGCUCAGGCCUCAGAAUGACAAUGUAACAUUUGGGGAAGAAGAUGCAACCCAGCAACCCACCACCAGAGGCUAAGAUGGAGAAGAUCUCCACAGCUACCAUAUAUUUUCCCUUGGUGCUCAGGUAGGAAGGAAUAAAGGACAGCCAAACACUGCAGAAGACCAACAUGCUAAAAGUGAUAAACUUGGCUUCGUUGAAACUGUCUGGUAACUUCCUGGCAAGGAAAGCCACAGCAAAACUUACAGUGGCCAGGCAGCUCAUGUAGAUGAGGACACAGUAAAACAUGGCCACAGACCCUUCAUUACAUUCUAGUAUCAUUUGUUCUGUCAUUGAAUGCAUGUCCACAUCUGGGUAUGGGGGAGAGGUUGCCAGCCACACAGUGCAUAUGCCUGCUUGGACUAUGGAGCAGGAAAGGAGAAUGGAGUGGCCUAGUCCUUUCCCCACCCAUUUCCUCAUCCUGGAUUCUGGUUUUGUAGCCAUGAAGGCCAAAACCACCAUGAAGGUUUUUGCCAGGACACAAGAAACAGCAGUUGAGAAGAUGAUACCAAAAGCUGUUUGUCGGAGGAGACACGUCACCUUCUCAGGUCGGCCAAUGAAGAGCAAUGCAGAAAGGAAGCAGAGCAGGAGAGAGAUGAGCAGAGCGUAGGUGAGGUUUCGGUUGUUUGCAAUGACAAUGGGUGUGUCAUGGUGUUUCAUAAAUAUACCUAGUACCAGAGCUGUGAUCAAGGAAAGGAAAAAAGAGAAAGAGGCCAAACUGAUGCCCAAGGGUUCUUCAUAAGACAAGAAGCUUAUGUCCUUGGGUAGACAUGCAUCCUGGUUCUUGCUUGGAUAGUCUUUGUCUGGGCAUUUAUGACAGUCAUUCAUAUCUGGUGGAAAAAGAAUAUAUUAGGUCAUAUAUUUUAGCUUCCUGAAAUGUUGACUUUCUGUCUGAGAAGAAAAGAGCUCUGUUUAAAUCAAAGCACAUGUUUAGUACUGCCUGAUGCUCUGUAAUGUGGUGUUGUUGCAAUCUAAGCUUUCUCUAUGUCAUGGAUAUGCCAAUAAACCACAUGAGACCGUGUGGGGAAAAGUACAGUGGUACCUCAGGUUACAUGCGCUUCAGGUGACAUGCGCUUCAAGUUACAGACUCUGCUAACCCAGAAAUAGUGCUUCAGGUUAUGUACCAUAUUUUGCGCCCCAUAGGACGCACCGGCCCAUAGGACGCACCUAGUUUUUUGGGGGGGAAAUAAAGGGGGAAAAAUUAUUUCCCCCCCAGGUGCGGGGCUGGAAGAACCAGGUUGGGGAACAGCGGGAAGGCGCGCUCCGCCUACCCGCUGUCCCCCGAGCUUGUGGGGCUGGCAAUAAGGAGAAGUGCGCUGAGCCCAGGACAGCAGGCAGCUCUGCGCGGCCAUCGGGAGCCGGGCGGGACUUCACAACUUUGUAAGGUUUGGCAGUGAGGCAUUGGCUCAUUGAUUUGUGGAGAAGGGGAGGUCAGCCAUCUCCUGCCCCUCCAUUGACCAAGGGUAUUCUGUUAAAGGAAUCCAGGGCCUGGAUCCUGUCUGAAGUCCACUUGAGGGGCUAAGGCCAUGGCAGGCCUCUGGGGACACCGAGGAGAGAUGCAGGUGGGUUCCCCUGAUGUGGCUUCCUCUUUGGGUGGUUUACCCUUACUGACUUCCUGCAAAGGGGUCUGAUAUAGCCCUUUGCCAAUGCCUCAGCCAAUACCACUCACAUUUCUGUAAUCAAUAAAGUUGUGGCCCAAAAUUUUGCCCAAUAGCCUUAAACCAAGAUUCUGUGUCAGUGUGAAUUUUAUUCUAACAAGAAGCUGGUUUGUGGGUCUUGCCAAAGAAGAAGAAGAAGACGAAGACGAAGACGAAGAAGAAGAAGAAGAAGAAGAAGAAGAAGAAGAAGAAGAAGAAGUGCUUUGAACCACAUACCAUCCAACUACUCUGAAUGCAUGGUCAUUCUCAUUUGAUUAGCAUAUUUAAACUAUCUGAAAGGCAAUGAUCAGAAAGAGGCAGGAUCACACACACAGUAGAUUAUCUCUUUUGAAAAGUAAACUCAGCCGUCCUUACGACACCUUUCAGUUAUUAGUGCUGAGUCUGGAUCUAUUUAAUCUAUUUAUUCCUCCUACCUUCCUGGAUUGCAAUCUUCCCCUCUGCACAUGGGAUGCAAUCGUAGCAGCAAGGUGGCUGUCCCUCCUUCACUUUCUUGCUGGAUCCUGGAAGACAUCUCUCAGUACAGACAGAAAGAGGCCGAGUCUAUUCCGUAAAUGAAAGAGCAGAAGGGUCAGCAAGAGAACAAUGAGUUUGGAAAUCUUCAUGUUCCUGGGCCCCUCUCUAUGUUACUAAGCUGAGUCAGCAUUCCAACAAUAUGUAAAAUGGUUUUAUUUUUUUAGUACCGUGGUACCUCGGGUUACAUACGCUUCAGGUUACAGACUCCGCUAGCCCAGAAAUAGUGCUUCAGAUUAAGUACUUUGCUUCAGGAUGAGAAGAGAAAUUGUGCUCCAGCAGCGCCGCAGCAGCAGGAGGCCCCAUUAGCUAAAGUGGUGCUUCAGGUUAAGAACAGUUUCAGGUUAAGAACGGACCUCCAGAACGAAUUAAGUACUUAACCCGAGGUACCACUGUAGUAGUAGUGUUUGAAGUGAUGUCAUACUCCCUCUAUUGUUCUGGGAUGUGUAGGUGUUGUGAUUACAUAGCAGUUCCCCACUUUUUAGCAAGAAAGGCAAAAUCUUGGGGCUUAUCCUCUUUUCCUCAGUUAAAAACCAGUAUUUUAUAAUUGUUAAGAAAUAUUUAUAAAAUAUUUGUAAAUAUAAUAAAAUAAAACAUUUGCCUUUAUUCCAUUAGUGACUUCUAGCAGUAAGCUUUUGGCUCUUAAUCUGGUACUUGGAUGAAGAAGAAGUGUUUGGAUAGGAUAUCCUACUUUAUCACUACCUUAAGGAAUCUCAAAGCGGCUAACAUUCUCCUUUCCCUUCCUCCCCCACAACAAACACUAUGUGAGGUGAGUGAGGCUGAGAGACUUCAGAGAAGUGUGACUAGCCCAAGGUCACCCAGCAACUUUAUGUGGAAGAGCGGGGACAUGAACCCGGUUCACCAGAUUACGAGUCUACUGCUCUUAGACACUACACCACACUGGCUCUCUGUAUGCAUUGGUCAUGUUCUACACAGGAACAUGCAGUUUAAAAGACAGUGAGUAGACAUGCAGGUGAAUGAUCAUUGCUUAGGCAAUACUGAAUUUCUUUGGAAUGAUCUAAUAAUGUGGUCCUACCUGAUUAAACCAACUGUGCCAUGUUAUGGAAUCUUCAUCAAGGAUGAAUGAUUGGUCUGGAGAAGCCUGCGGAUCUAUCCUCCCAACUCUCACUCUGUGCAAACUUUGGUUGGAGAAUAUAAUCCAAUUGACAAUAUCUAAACUAGAUACCACCUCUCCAUUCCGGUUGAUGAAGACCACAUCUCCGGCCGUAUUGUUAAAUGAGAUGCUUCUCAGAAAGUGAUGGAGCUAGAUUGAAAACAGAAAAGGCAAUUGUUUCGAAAAGGCUGCAGUCUAAUGCAGGGUGGAGCAUUUUUUUUUCUUCCUGUAGGAAAAAACGACAGAAAUUGGUGGGGGUGAUUCAGUCAAGUGUCAGUGGAUUCAGGUCAAAGAAUGGAGAGAACACCAAUUUUCUCUUUCCCACACCCCUCUCUCUCCCUCUCCCCUUUUUUUACAACCUUUCUUUAUCUCCCCCACCCCCCACCUCUUUUCCUCUGUCCCUCUUCAUCUCAGGAGACACCACAGUGGUGUAUGAUCACAUGAUCUGAGGGAGGACUUGGAGCAUAUAGGAUAGAGAUAAUGCUGAACAUCUCUCUCAACCAUUACUGCCGCUUCUUAUCUUUGAAUGCAGUAACAUAUCAGUGGUCUGCAAACUUCUUUCAUAGAAGCACUUUUUCAUGUCUGAGAUGAAGGAGCAAGUUGACAACACUUUGGAAACCAAUCCCUUGCAGGGGAAUAACAGGCCUCUUCAAGUUGAGAAUGUUUAGCCUAUGACCUGCCAAAACUGUGGAUUCUGAUUCUUCCCUCUCCGUCCGUACGCCAUUCCUCUGUGCCUAAGUCUGAAUGUGGACAUGGCAUGUAAAGCAUGGGCCAAGGCGUAGACAGCAUUGUGGAUACUGUAACUGUGGCCUGUCAUGCUCAUUUCAAAAAAUGAUCCAGGAAGGUUCUCCAGCUUCUCUUCUCCUGUGCAAAUAUUCCCCUCCACCUUGUCUGUAGCGAUAUCUGGGAAUACACAUCCAAAGGCCUGUUGCCAGAAGUCCCUGAUAAAACCGUCCCCAUCUGGGCUGGAAGGGUUUCUGUGAACAACAUACUAAUGAAAUCCUGGUGGGUUUCUGAAGUGAAUUUCAAAGGCUAUAGCACCAUUGAAUAUUCCUGCAUCCCAGUUCCUUUGAAUGACAAAUGAAGUGAACUCAACAUGGGCAGUUAUUAUCCAUACUUUACUUUUUAUAUUGUAUGUCAUGUCAUCAUGUUCUGAUAGGUAUGGAAGCCAUCUAAAAGUUCCCAUGGAAUAAGAUUCUCCAUGGGCAACUAUUACAUUAGCUGUGCUGCUAAAAAUUUUAUGGUUUAUACUUGUCCCCUGUUGUAGCAUGCCAUCAAUUUCAGAAAUAAAACUUAAACUGGGGAUUCUUUCUAGGAAUGCAAAACACACACCACUCUUGGUAAAUAUUGGGGAAAUGGUUUGCAGAAAUCUUUCUCCAUUGUCAUUGUCUGUUGCAAUGACUCCAAUCCAUGUCCACCUGAAAUGCAGAAGCAAAGAGAGAAUUCCCUUAUACUGAAGGGCUUCUGAGGCUGCCAUCUGGUAGAAGGGAAGCCCUGGGCUUUUAUCAUUCAUCACCGGAACAGAGCCAUAAAUGAGCUAAAAAGUAAAUGGAAGAAGAGAAGAGACAAAGUAGAUUCCUUUCACAGUAUUCAUAUAUAUUAUUAGGCAAAUCCUGUUAGUUAGUUUCAAGGUUUGUUUGUCUCUCUCUUAGUUUUACAAAAGACACACAUGCAGAUGGGCUGAAAAUUGGGAUCAUCUCCCUUUUCUCAUUUUUAAACCUUUAAUUUGAUGAAUGGAGAGGGAAAUGUGUCUGUUUUAUAUUAUUUUUAUGAACCUUGUUUACACAUUGAUGACUGGAGUAGGGCAUUGUGUCUACUUCACUUAAAAACAAACAAACUUUUUUUUAUGUCAUUGCAAAAUUUGGCAUGGUCUUCUAAAAUGUAUAAAACUGGAUGGGGGAACAUACCAUGCCCCAAACAGCAGAUUUCCUGGACAUUUUCUGGUUUUGUCAGAAUUGCAACUUGGGUUAGAUGCACAUUUCUUCUCUGGAGCUUCGUUUUUCUUCUUCAUGAUGCACAUGCCCCAUCACACAGCAAAACUGUGCUGAUUCUUCUCAGACUUUAUUUAUGAACAUUUAUUUCACUUGUGAAUCAGCUGCUAUCUACUAUUACUUUUCUCCUGCAUAACUGGAUUCUAUCUACAAUUUCCCAUAACCUCUCUGUGUCUUUAAUUAUGUCGGGUCUGCUAAAGAGGAAUAGUUAUUGUACUGGCUCCUACUUGUAGGAGGUUUUUAGCUGUUACCCUUUCCCCCACUUCCCCAGCUACUUAUUUGACAUGCCCUCCUCACUAAUUUUUCCAUUGGCACCUAAAAUAUUAUUGCUUUUAUCCAGUAAACAAUUAUCCCUCUCCCUCAGCAACUCAUUUCAGAUACCCUCCUAACUAAACAGAAAAUGAUGCAUAAUGAUAAACUGUUGGUGAGAGAGAAGCCCACUCUCCCAUCAGUGGCAUUUGUUAUAUACUGUAAGUGAUCUAAAUGUGUGUGUAAGACAGGGAAGGUCACAUAUUUUUACAGGUAUUGCAACCUUCCCCUUUAUUCAGGUUUGUCUGUCUGUCUGUUUGUUUCCUUAUAUUACAAUUAUGUACCAUCUUUCUUUUCCAAGGAUCUCAAGGUGGUGUACAUAGUUCUCCUUGCAAUUUCAUCUUCACCCAGAACUGAUGCUGAGGAACCUCUUCCUCUACGCAAGCUAAUAGAGGUAUUGUACAUAGGUGUCCUAAUAGGGACGCGGAUGGCGCUGUGGGUAAAACCUCAGUGCCUAGGACUUGCCAAUCAAAAGGUCGGCGGUUCGAAUCUCCGCGGUGGGGUGCGCUCCCGUUGCUCGGUCCCAGCGCCUGCCAACCUAGCAGUUCGAAAGCACCCCCGGGUGCAAGUAGAUAAAUAGGGACCACUUACUGGCGGGAAGGUAAACGGCGUUUCCAUGUGCUGCGCUGGCUCGCCAGAUGCAGCUUUGUCACGCUGGCCACGUGACCCGGAAGUGUCUCCGGACAGCGCUGGCCCCUGGCCUCUUAAGUGAGAUGGGCGCACAACCCUAGAGUCGGACACGACUGGCCCGUACAGGCAGGGGUACCUUUACCUUUACAUAGGUGUCCUACCUGCGGAAUCUUAUAGAUAUCCAAAACAGUGGCCACAUAAAAGGAGAUUUCAGAAUCCAGUCCCCCAAUGACCCCAGUCAGAUUAUUUUCAACAUUACAUAUAUAGUUAGGGACAAAUUUCUUCACCAUGGAUAAAAGCAGCAGUGUGGCAAGAUAUGUGCUCCUUGCACUGAUAUAGCUGUCAUAUAAGUGGAAGCCCAAGGUGAUAUUGGGUAGGAUGUGAGGGUCUUUGUUGAUCUCCUUGACUGCAAAUGCCAAGGCCACGAUGUGCUGGUAACCCUUAGUCACCACCCUAGAAUGAGAGUUGCAAACUGUAUCAGCAGGAACUUCAACUUCCUUUUACACAAUAGUUAAUCAUACUAAGUUCAGGGGGGUUUACACUCUGCUCGUUCUACUGUUGAAUAGCUCUUAUCAGUAGAAAGUUCUUCUUGAUGUUUAGUUGAAAUUUGCUUUCUUGUAACUUGAAUACCCUGAUUUGGAGCAAAAAACAAACAAGUGUGUUCCAUCUUCCUGGUGACAGCCCUUGAGAUAUUUGAAAAUGGCUAUCAUUCCUCCCCUCAGUCUCACCAUAGCUAAACAUAUCAAACUCCCUCAACCAUUCCUCAUAAGGCUUGGUUUCCAGACCAUCUUUGUUGCCCUCCUCUGUACAUAUUUCAGCUUGCUAAUACGUAUCCUUCUUAAAUUGUGGUGGUCAGAACUGGAUACAGGACUCCAGGUGACCAAGGCAGAAUAGAGCAGUAUUAUUACUUCCUUUGAUCAGGACACUAUACUUCUGUUGAUGCAGAUCCCUUGAACCUUUCUACAUUUACUACUGGCAAGCCAAGUGUUCCUCAUCUUAGAAUUGUGCAUUUCUCCCUAUUGAAUUUCAUGUUGUUACUUUUGUCCCAGUUUUCCAAUAUUUUAAGUUUAAUAGUAUCUAGAUUAGGGGUUGCUAAUAGAAAAUACUAAUAGAAAAUGAAAGUAUAUGAACCUUCAGUUUUUAAAAAAAUCAUUCUUACUAACACUCUAGUAGUUCAGAUAAAGUCUAUCAAAAUUUGCUGUUCAAAUGGGCUCUCCCAGACACACAAACAUGCAUACAUUUCAAUACAUUUUCAUACAUUUCUCUAUCCAGAAUUGGGAAUUUCGCCUGUAUUCUCUUAAUUCACUAGAGAUUCCUUCCUAUUUUUUGCCCCAGCAUAAUUCCAUUCAUAUCUAAAGUGGAUUUCCCUAGGUAAAAGUGUGAAAGUUUGCAGUCUCAGUCAUUAUUCUGAGGCUGCAACUCUAGGUUUGAUCAUUACAUGAAUGUAAUAAAUGAGUGGCUUAGUUCUUACACAAGCUCUUCAGGCAGCGCUGGUGGGGGUUCCUCGGUGAAUGUUGCUGGAGAGGAGAAGAAUCCACCAUGGGAAACAAUGCCACCAAUGAGGAACUCUCCUGGCUGAUGAUACGUGUGAAGUGGAUGGUGUGGACAUUGGAGGAUGCAUUUCGCUAUGUGAGCCAGACAUACAUUGUAAGAAAUCAGUUCCAGCAGCCAGAAAACUAAAACCACCAUUCUCAGUACAAAGGCAACUGUCUGUUCUACAUGGAACCCAUGAUUUCUCUGGCAAUAUUAUAAUUAGCUUCUCCAAAAUAAAAAUUGUCUCAUUUGAAUGGUAGUUAAGUUUCUUGAGACGAUGCAAUCUGGGAGUAUGAAUGAUCAGACUUGUGGAUCCCAGACCCUAUUUAAAUUAUUCUGGAUAAUGUUAGUAUCCUUUCCGUUACUUUUGCAAGUGGCCCCUGAAAGUCCAGAGGGAAUUUUGAGGAGCAGCAGAUUUAAUUAUAGCCCUGUUAAUAACCAAGCUGGAAUUUAGUUAUUUAUUCAAUGCUUGCGAACCCCUGUGGAAUUGCAGAAGAAAAUGUGUUUGUCACAUAUUCAGAACUAUUGUGUUUUAUUCCCUUUCAGUGGAUAAUAAGGGACCAGUGGUGUAUUGGUGAUGUUAGAAGUUCAUAAUAGAAGACCUUGUAAACAAUGGAGACUCCAAAAUGUAGUACGGUGUUGUCAGCAUCUUGAAAUUUGACUGAGUGGACCUGGAUCCACAUCAACCAUGUGGCAAUGACCCCUCACCACUUUUCCAGGGGGCGACAGUUGCGUUUCCUCACUCUCAGCCUCCUUCCCCGAUGGCCUAGGCACACAAAUUUGCUGGCCUUUGGAGGGGAAUUCUCCUUGGCUGGUGGAUCUCAAAAGGGACGGGUCUUUCCAACCCAAAAGGCACUAUAAAUGGGCCGCUCACUGGUGUCUCCUCGAGGGCACUGCCUUCCUGGCUGUAGGCAUUGGCUGCUGUCUUGUCUGGCCUGGCAGUGAGACUUAAAAGGGCGGUUGCAGGAGGCUCUCACAGCACGGCUGGGUGAAGAGCAACACCCUCCCACCCUCCCUUUUACUUCUAUUCACAAUUCAGGUCAAUUAAUUAUCGUGCUUAUCGUGUAAUCCCAGUCUUCAAGUGUUGGGUGAAGUAGCGCCUCACCAAGUACCGAAUGAGUGAUGUAUUCUGGGUACCCCAUUAGCUCUACCUGCACACAAAAUUACCUUGAGUCCUGCCUGGUUGGUCACUCCAGGCUGAGGGUGAUGGGACUGUGUAAAGCCUUCAUAUUUGUGCCAUUUUCUGCACCCAUUACCCAAAUGACUUCACCAGGUACUGGUGCCUAAAGCCUGGGACCUAGAAACCUGAAAGAUUGUCUAAUGUUGUUUUAAACUGUUUUUAAUAGGGUGAAGGAUGGGUGAUUAAUAAUUAAAUAUCCUGGCUGUAACAAACUGGCAACUGCAGGUUCAGGGAACCUGUGGCUGUUUAGACAGAAAACUCUCCCUGGAUAUGGAGAGGCAAUUGUUUUUGAAUAAAGGGAAUAUGUUAUUAUAGCAUAACACACACAUCUAUACUAAAAAUGCAAUACGUGCACAGCAAUCAAAGUUUAAUUUAUAUUUUGUGUGUUAUUUCAUAUAUUAAGAAAGGAGAUGAUUUGUCCCCUUCCUCCAGCCCCAGAUGAGAACAGGAAUUGAAUCCCGAUGGGUGCUGCUUGCAUAGGAGCACCAUGAAACCAGCUGGAUCGAAUUCUCCCCCAAACCAGCUGCUAAGCAGAAGUUUCUGAAGGGAACAUGGUCAUGAAAUAGACCCUGGCAGUCUUUCCACCCACCACUCAAACCCUGAAAAUUCCGGAUCACACUUCUUCUUUUUAAAUGACAUUUAUUAAGAAUUUUAAAAUUACAGGAAAAACAAAAAAGAAAAAGAAAGAGAAAAAACAAAAGAAAAACAAACCACAAUCAGACAAUACAAAUUGAUAAAAAUCAAAAUAAAAAAUUAACAACAAAACACGUAACGGAGCACAAUCAAAAAGCAAAAAUAAACCACAGAAUUUAAAAACAAAUCCAAUAUUCUCAAAUCCUUAACUGUCAUUACCUUCUUUCAUUGACCUCCUCACUCCUCCCUUUUUGUAUCCUAGUUGUUAAUUAUCACAGCAAAUCCUUUCCAUUUUUCAUAAUAUUCUAUCAUUACAUUACCUUAGUCUAUUUUAACCUUAUCUUACUAUAAAAAACCCUAAAACUUAAAACUUACAUCUUAUUUAUACCAAUUUCUCAUAACCAUAACAUAUUCUUACAUAAUUCUUUUAACAUUUUUGCUAAAGCCAAAUAAUUUCGUUCCAACAUUUUUCUAACAUUCAUCAAUUUUAUAAAGCAACCCUAAUAAAAAAAAAUUUCAAAUUUUCUUCCAAUCUUCAUCCAGCGUCUCUUCCUCCUGGUCCCGGGUUUUGUCAGUCCUUUCUAUCCCAUCAAUCUGGCGCAUUAACCUGGUAAUCUUAUGUCCGAGGCCCUUAAGUAUCUUCCAUGUCCCUUCCGCGGCUCUUCUUCAUAUUUAUACCUGUACUUUACUUUGUCUCCUGCUCCUUUCACUCAUGGGAACUCCAACUUGACAGUGUUUUUGACCCUUCUCGACAAAUCAGCCCCUUUUCCAUAGUCCACACUAAACUCCAUGUGGUAUUUAAAAACAUGUUUCAAAGUCCCUCCAGAAUUAAGAGCCCCCACAACCCUAAACAUCUCGCGGCCCAUUGCCAGACUUGGAAAGUCAAAACAUCCCUGCAUAGGGGGGGUCUAUCCAACCCCCUAUUUCCAAACCAAACCAAACUCUAUCUCUCCAAAUCUGGCUUUUUCCAAGUUCAUUUAUCAAAUCCAACAACUCAUGUUCCUGCUGGGCCACAACUCCCUCAAUCUCUGGCACCCGGGGUUCAGCAACAUCUUCUUCCCUCAUCUGAUCUGUCAGAGCACACUCCUGAUUUUAUUCCUGGGUGGGCUCUAUAUAGUUACCCACUACCUGUCCAAAAUUUCCAAUCGCAACUGUCAUCAAGUCAGUCUUCUCAUGUAGCUGUUCCAAUAGGGCACUUGUUUUACAGAAGGCAUGCACCAGAGCUUCUGAAUACAUUGUUCUGCAAGGUCAGAGUUCUGUUCCCACGAUCGUAAUCUGUUGCAGCUGCAGAGCUCCCCGAUUCAAAUUUAGUAACAGUUUCACAGGCUCCCUCUAGGGGAAGAACUUCUAUUUGUUCUUUUCUUUUAAAGGCAGAUCUAACAACAAAGUUUCCUUUUUCAGAUAUUUUGUUAAUAUUUGUUCCUUUAAAAUGCGAAGGAGAACAAUGGAAUCACUAUGUUUCUCUUCUUUUAACUAUCUGUCAAAGACGUUUGUCUAUGGUCAAUGAGCUUCCCAAAGAACGUCAGUCCUGACACCCCGCUCCCAGGUACAAGACGGUGGAAAAUUACUUUUCUUUACACUCUCUUCUGCAGGUUUAAACAGUCUGGAAAAAAUCCCCCCUCUUCUCCUGCUCCCGAAGGGGGUUCAACAAUUUUAAAUGAUUAAAGUUAAUCCUUUACAAACGAUUUUCUGAACUCUAGUUUGCCAUGUCUUUGCUUUAAUCUAUCUACAAGAAACGGAAGGCUGACUUCCUGUUUAGACCUUCCCGUUUCAGUGCCAAAUUGAGAAGAAUUUCUUAGUCCAAUUUUCCUUUCUACUCGCAGGUCGUUAUUUAAAGUCCAAUUGUCCAAAAUUAAGUUACUCACGGGUAAUUGUUUUAAAAGCCAAAUUGUCCCAUGAAAAAGGCAGCGCUCUCCGGCAACGGCUGUGCGGCUUCGCUCCACGGAAGAAGCAGUUGACUCUCAGCACCGCGCCACUGGCCCCUCUUCGCUCCGGAGCCUGUAACGGGGUUCCUUUACGAGUUGGGGGGGCGCGAAAGGUGCCCGCCGAGUCCCAUGGUCACAGGCUUCAUCCGCCUGUGAUUUUUGAAAGGGUCCCCGCUUCGCCGUAGCGGGAAGACCCGUUUUCCGCGGAGCUAGUCCCUCCAGAUCAGAGGGAGUCCGCCAUUACCGAUGGCGCCAUCCCGGAAGUCCACACUGCGUAUCUCACCCCAUAAUGGGACAAUCUGUGCCUGUCUUGCCUCGACUUGGCUCAAGCAAAGUCUAUUGUUCCAAAGUGUGCAAUAUAAAGAAUGACUUCCUUCUCCUUCUUCUUCAAAGCAUAUAUGGUUGGGUUUUGCAAGGGGCUGACACAGAUACAGAAGACAGAAAUCACUUUAUCGAUCAUGAACUGGGCUGAUGGAGGCAGGUAAAUAAACAAACAGGGCCCAAAUAUAUGGUGACCACAAUGAGGUGAGAGGUGCAUGUGGAGGCAGCCUUGGUGGUUUCUUCAGUGGGACCCUGGGAGCAGAUUGUGUAGAGAAUGAAUCCAUAUGAGAUGAGCAGGCCAAUAAAAGAAACUAGUGACAAAAUUCCACUGUUGGUGACCAUCAUGACUUCCAAGGGAUUUGUGUCCAUGCAAGCCAACUUGAUGACCAUGGAGAGGUCCCAUAAGAAGCUGUCCACUUGAUUUUGCCCACAGAAAGGCACAUUAAUGAUAAAACGCAAUUGCACAGUGCCAUGGAGGAGCCCACCAGCCUAGGAGGCAAGGAGAAGUGCCAUGCAAUGACGCCGGCUCAUGAAGCAUAACAGAGGAGAUGGGAAACGGCCAAGGCUACCAGCAGGAGCAUCUUGCAGCCUACAAACACAUGGAGAAAGAAUAUUUGUGGCAUGCAGCUCUGGAAGGAGAUGAUCUGAUGUUGGGCAAGGAAAUCCAAGAGAGAUCUUGGGAUGGCAAAGGAGGAUAGGCAGAGGUCCAGGAAAGCCAAGUGACCUAGCAAAAGACCAUGGGUGAAUCUGAAAGACAGUGAUCCUGGAAAAUGGCUGAGAAAAUGAGAGCGUUGCUGAUAGAAGACUCCAAAAUUAGCAUGGUGUGGUCAGCAUCUUGGAAUUUGGCUGAGUGGACCUGGAUUCACACCAGCCAUGUGGUAUGUGUGCAAUGGCCACUCUUGGCUGUUCUGGGGGAUUACAGUUGUGUCCCCUUCCUCUCAGCCUCCUUCCGCAAUGGCCUAGGCACACACGCUUGCCCACACCCCCAUGGGCAAAUGCCUCUGUAACUCUGGAGAGGACCCCACAGUUCAUCCAGAUGCAGCUGAGGGUGGAUAAGAUUCCCAACGUUGCUGAGCCUGACUUUCCAGCUUUUUGGUGAAUUUUAAUUCUGCGUCAAAAUGCAUUCAGUGAUGCUGAUGUCUCUGGCUUCUUCAGAUGCUGAUGGAUUCCAAAACCCACCAACCCCAGUCAGUAUGGAAAAUGGUCAGCAAUGAUGAGGGCUGUAGUCUAGCAAUAUCUGGAGGGCUAUAGGCUUCCCAUCCCUGCACUAGGGGGACGGAAAGCAGAUAGCAAGAUAAGAAAUAAUAUGUUUUACAGUGUUUUUAUAUCUGCUGUAAGCCACCCAAAGUGGCUGGGGAAACCCAGCCAGAUGGGUGGGUUAUAAAUAAUAAAAUUAUUGCUAUCAUUAUCAUCAUUAUUUGCCCUAAUUCUGUCCAUUCCUGUCAUCACUUGAAUACCUGGACCUUUUGCAAGGGGGGCAUAAUCUUAUAGACACUCAUUAACAAACCUAGUUAGCUUGCUCUAUAACAGUACAGAUGUCUACUCAGAAAUAAGUGUUUUAAGAUUUAAUGGGCCUUGCUCCCAGAAAAGUGAGCACAAGCUGGCAAUGUAGGCUCUGGUUUAUGGUUGAAAUUUAGGGAAAGCUGUGGCUUUGUGCCCUUAAGAGCUGUAUAACAGGAGGUAUAAUUCAGAGGUUAAGCCUGGAUUCUAGAAAGCUGAGGUCCGUUAUGGGAAUACACAUGCAACCUGAAGUCUCUUUGUCCUCUUUGAUUCUACUUUCAAUCUGAUUAAGCUCUGGUUUACUUGUAUUCUCCAUUCAUCAUGGUUAGGUCUAAUCAAUUUUGUCUGCUCAUCAAACAUUUGCUGAAGGAUGCCAACAGUCAGUGGAAAGUCCAACAAUAUACUUUCCACAAAUACAAUACAUAUUUGUGUUAAGAAUAUAGUGUUCUGAUCCAUCACUUGCGUUGGUGAAAAUAAAACAUUUCAGUUGUGGCUUUGUUGAAUGCUCUGCCCAGUGAACUGUGCAUGGUUCUUUGUUGCCAUCUUUUCCAAGCACCAGGGCAGAAAUCAUUCACACUUUCUUAUCUAGUUCUCUGAAUUUCACCAAGGAGACCUGAUUCAGACAAAAUCUUGGGGGGAGGGAACCCAAUUCAAUGGGGGGUAUGUUAUUUCACAGUACAUAGAUAAUCUAUGGAACUCACUGCCAUAGGAAGGAAUGGUGGAGACACUGCAUUUGCUUUUGGAUACGGCUUGAAGAAGAAGAAGAGGAAGAGUUUGGAUUUGAUAUCCCGCCUUUCACUCCCCUUCAGGAGUCUCAAAGCGGCUAACAUUCUCCUUUCCCUUCCUCCCCCACAACAAACACUCUGUGAGGUGAGUGGGGCUGAGAGACUUCAAAGAAGUGUGACUGGCCCAAGGUCACCCAGCAGCUGCAUGUGGAGGAGCGGAGACACGAACCCGGUUCCCCAGAUUACAUGACUACCGCUCUUAACCACUACACAACACUGGCUCUCUCUUGAAGGUUUAAUCUCACUGUAAACAAGUGGUACAGUUACAAUAAAGUAUUUCUAUUUCCCACAGCAAUCUGGUUGGUCAGUGUGAGUACAGGCUACCAUACAAGAUGGGCCAUUGGCCUGACUCAAGAGAAUCAUCUUACAUUUCUACGAUCUUUUUUUUUUAAAAAAUGAUAUUUAUUAAGAAAUUUAAAAUUAGAGAAAAAACAAAGAGAAAAAGAAGGAAAAAACAAAGGAAAAACAAACAGCAAUCAAACAAUACAAAUCGAUAGAAAUCAAAAUCAAAAAACAAAAACAAAACACAUAACACAUCAAAAUCAAAAAGCAAAAAUAAACCACAAAAAUUUAAAAACAGAUCCAAUAUUCCCAAAUCCUUAACUGUCAUUACCUUAUUUCAUCGACCUCCUCACCCCUCCCUUUUUGUAUUCUAGUUGUUAAUUAUCACAGCAAAUCCUUUCCAUUUUUCAUAAUAUUCUGUCAUUAAAUUACCUUAAUCUAUUUUAACCUUAUCUUACUAUAAAAGACCCUAAAACUUAAAACUUAAAUCUUAUUUAUACCAAUUUCUCAUAACCAUAGCACAUUCUUACAUAGUUCUUUUUAACCUUUCUGCUCAAGCCAAAUAGUUUCGUUCCAACAUUUUUCUAAUACUCAUUAAUUUUAGAAAACAAUCCCAAAUAAAAAUUUUAAAACUUUCUUCCAAUCUUCAUCCAACGUCUCUUCCUCCUGGUCCCAGGUUUUAUCAGUCCUUUCUAUCCCAUCCAUCUAGUUCAUUAACCUGGUAACCUUAUGUCCGAGGCCCUUAAGUCUCUUCCAUGUCCCAUCCGCAGAUCUUCUUCAUAUUUAUACCUGUACUUUACUUUGUCUCCUGCUCCUUUCACUCGUGGAAACUCCAACUUGACAGUAUUUUUGUCGCUUCUCAGCCCCUUUUCCAUAGUCCACACUGAACUCCAUGUGGUAUUUAAAAGCAUGUUUCAAGGUCCCUCCAGAGUUGAGGACCCCCACAACCCCAAACUCCUCACGGCCCAUUGCCAGACUUGAAAAGUCAAAACAUCCCUGCAUAGGGGGGGUCUACCCAGCCCCCCAUCUCCAAGCCAAACAAAACUCUAUCUCUCCAAAUCUGGCUUUUUCUAAGUUCAUUAUGUCAGAUCCAACAACUCAUGUUACUGCUGGGCACAGCUCCCUCCAUCUCUGCCACCCGAGGUCCAGCAACAACCUCCUCCCUCAUCUGAUCUGUCAGAGCACACUCCUGAGUUGAUUCCUGGGUGGGUUCUAUAUAGAUACCCACUACCUGUCCAAAAUUUCUGAUCGCAACAGUCAUCAAAUCCGUCUUCUCAUGUAACUGUUCCAAUAAAGCACUUGUCUUGCAGAAAGCACGAACCAGAGCCUCUGAGUACAUUGUUAUGCAAGGUCAGAAGUCUGUUCCCACGAUCUUAAUCUAUUGCAGCUGCGAAGCUCCCCAGUUCAAAUUUAAUAACAGUUUCACAAGCUCCCUCUAGGGGAAGAACUUCUAUUUGUAUCCAUCUCUUUUUUUUUUUUUUAAAGCAGAUCUAACAACAAAGUUUCCUUUUUCAGAUAUUUUGUCAAUAUUUGUUCCUUUAAAAUGCGAAGGAGAACAAUGGAAUCACUAUGUUUCUCUUCUUUUAACUGUCUGUCAAAAACAUUUGUCUAUAGUCAAUGAACUUCCCAAAAACGUCUGUCCUGACACCCCGCUCCCAGGUUCAAGACGGUGGAAAAUUACUUUUCUUUACACUCUCUUCUGCAGGUUUAAACAAUCCGGAAAAAAUCCCCCCUCUUCUCCUGCUUCUGAAGGGGGUUCAGUAAUUUUAGAUUAUGAAAGUUGAUCCUUUACAAACGAUUUUCUGAACUCUAGUUUGCCAUGUCUUUGCUUUAAUCUAUCUACAAGAAACGGAAGGCUGACUUCCUGUUUAGACCUUCCCGCUUCAGUGCCAAAUUAAGAGGAAUUUCUUAAUCCAAUUUUCCAUUCUACUCACAGGUCGUUGUUUCAGGUCCAAUUGUCCAAACUUAAUCUACUCACGGGUAGUUGUUUUUGUAGCCAAAUUGUCCCAGGAAAAAGGUAGCGCUCUCCGGCAACGGCUGUGCGGCUUCGCUUCACGGAAGCAGCAGUUGACUCUCAGCACCGCGCCACUUGCCCCUCUUCGCUCCGGAGCCCGAAAUUGGGUUCCUUUACGAAUUGGGGGGGCGUGAAAGGUGCCCGCCGAGUCCCAUGGUCACAGGCUUCAUCUGCCUGUGAUUUUUUAAAGGGUCCCCGCUUCGCCGUAGCGGAACAGACCCGUUUUCCAUAGAGCCAGUCCCUCCGGAUCAGAGGGAAUCCGCCAUUACCAAUGGCGCCACCCCGGAAGUACAUUUCUACGAUCUUGAGUAUGGAUAGGUUGAUGAUGAAAUCUGAUGGUGAGCAGUAGAGAACAAUAGACCAUAAAUGAAUACUCAAAUAUUCCAUGGCUGCAAUAGUACAGUUUCACAUUAUGCUGAAAGCUGUAAGAAUUAAGGCUAGAUACAGAUUUGCUUACAUUUAUAUUUUGACAAGAAUUGCUCUGUUACCUUGUCAACACAUGCUACAAGAGAAUAAUGUUUUUCCCAGUAGUGAUAUAUGGAAGUGAGAGCUGGACCAUAAAGAAGGCUGAUCGCCAAAGAAUGAAUGCUUUUGAAUUAUGGUGCUGGAGGAGACUGUUGAGAGUCCCAUGGACUGCAAGCAGAUCAAACGUAUCCAUUCUUCAGGAAAUCAGCCCUGUGUGCUCACUGGAAGGACAUAUUGUGAAGCUGAGGCUCCAAUACUUUGGCCACCUCAUGAGAAGAGAAGACUCCCUGGAAAAGACCCUGAUGUUGGGAAAGAUUGAGGGCACAAGGAGAAGGGGACGACAGAGGACAAGAUGGUUGGACGGUGUUCUCGAAGCUACAAACAUGAGUCUGACCAAACUGCGGGAGGCAGUGGAAGACAGAAGUGCCUGGCGUGCUCUGGUCCAUGGGGUCACGAAGAGUCGGACACGACUAAACAACAACAAAUGUAUGAUUGUUUUCCUCAAAGCAAAUAAGUCAAUUUUACAAAGGAAAUUUCAACUAUGGGAAUUUGGAGUCUAGAAAAAAUUGUUAAGGGGAGCAGCUGAACUUAUAUUUCCAACUAUUCUACUGUAAACACAGAGAAAAACACAAAAUACAGCAGAUGACAGGUUUCUCAUUUCUUUAAUUUUUCUUCCUUAUUAGCUGUUCCCUAUUGUUGAGCUCAGGCCUCAGAAUGACAAUGUAACAUUUGGGGAAGAAGAUGCAACCCAGCAACCCACCACCAGAGGCUAAGAUGGAGAAGAUCUCCACAGCUACCAUAUAUUUUCCCUUGGUGCUCAGGUAGGAAGGAAUAAAGGACAGCCAAACACUGCAGAAGACCAACAUGCUAAAAGUGAUAAACUUGGCUUCGUUGAAACUGUCUGGUAACUUCCUGGCAAGGAAAGCCACAGCAAAACUUACAGUGGCCAGGCAGCUCAUGUAGAUGAGGACACAGUAAAACAUGGCCACAGACCCUUCAUUACAUUCUAGUAUCAUUUGUUCUGUCAUUGAAUGCAUGUCCACAUCUGGGUAUGGGGGAGAGGUUGCCAGCCACACAGUGCAUAUGCCUGCUUGGACUAUGGAGCAGGAAAGGAGAAUGGAGUGGCCUAGUCCUUUCCCCACCCAUUUCCUCAUCCUGGAUUCUGGUUUUGUAGCCAUGAAGGCCAAAACCACCAUGAAGGUUUUUGCCAGGACACAAGAAACAGCAGUUGAGAAGAUGAUACCAAAAGCUGUUUGUCGGAGGAGACACGUCACCUUCUCAGGUCGGCCAAUGAAGAGCAAUGCAGAAAGGAAGCAGAGCAGGAGAGAGAUGAGCAGAGCGUAGGUGAGGUUUCGGUUGUUUGCAAUGACAAUGGGUGUGUCAUGGUGUUUCAUAAAUAUACCUAGUACCAGAGCUGUGAUCAAGGAAAGGAAAAAAGAGAAAGAGGCCAAACUGAUGCCCAAGGGUUCUUCAUAAGACAAGAAGCUUAUGUCCUUGGGUAGACAUGCAUCCCGGUUCUUGCUUGGAUAGUCUUUGUCUGGGCAUUUAUGACAGUCAUUCAUAUCUGGUGGAAAAAGAAUAUAUUAGGUCAUAUAUUUUAGCUUCCUGAAAUGUUGACUUUCUGUCUGAGAAGAAAAGAGCUCUGUUUAAAUCAAAGCACAUGUUUAGUACUGCCUGAUGCUCUGUAAUGUGGUGUUGUUGCAAUCUAAGCUUUCUCUAUGUCAUGGAUAUGUCAAUAAACCACAUGAGACCGUGAGGGGAAAAGUACAGUGGUACCUCAGGUUACAUGCGCUUCAGGUGACAUGCGCUUCAAGUUACAGACUCUGCUAACCCAGAAAUAGUGCUUCAGGUUAUGUACCAUAUUUUGCGCCCCAUAGGACGCACCGGCCCAUAGGACGCACCUAGUUUUUUGGGGGGAAAAUAAAGGGAAAAAAAUUAUUUCCCCCCCAGGUGCGGGGCUGGAAGAACCAGGUCGGGGAACAGCGGGAAGGCGCGCUCCGCCUACCCGCUGUCCCCCGAGCUUGUGGGGCUGGCGAUGAGGAGAAGUGCGCUGAGCCCGGGACAGCAGGCAGCUCUGCGCGGCCAUCGGGAGCCGGGCGGGACUUCACAACUUUGUAAGGUUUGGCGGUGAGGCAUUGGCUCAUUGAUUUGUGGAGAAGGGGAGGUCAGCCAUCUCCUGCCCCUCCAUUGACCAAGGGUAUUCUGUUAAAGGAAUCCAGGGCCUGGAUCCUGUCUGAAGUCCACUUGAGGGGCUAAGGCCAUGGCAGGCCUCUGGGGACACCGAGGAGAGAUGCAGGUGGGUUCCCCUGAUGUGGCUUCCUCUUUGGGUGGUUUACCCUUACUGACUUCCUGCAAAGGGGUCUGAUAUAGCCCUUUGCCAAUGCCUCAGCCAAUACCACUCACAUUUCUGUAAUCAAUAAAGUUGUGGCCCAAAAUUUUGCCCAAUAGCCUUAAACCAAGAUUCUGUGUCAGUGUGAAUUUUAUUCUAACAAGAAGCUGGUUUGUGGGUCUUGCCAAAGAAGAAGAAGAAGACGAAGAAGAAGAAGAAGAAGAAGAAGAAGAAGAAGAAGAAGAAGAAGAAGAAGAAGAAGAAGUGCUUUGAACCACAUACCAUCCAACUACUCUGAAUGCAUGGUCAUUCUCAUUUGAUUAGCAUAUUUAAACUAUCUGAAAGGCAAUGAUCAGAAAGAGGCAGGAUCACACACACAGUAGAUUAUCUCUUUUGAAAAGUAAACUCAGCCGUCCUUACGACACCUUUCAGUUAUUAGUGCUGAGUCUGGAUCUAUUUAAUCUAUUUAUUCCUCCUACCUUCCUGGAUUGCAAUCUUCCCCUCUGCACAUGGGAUGCAAUCGUAGCAGCAAGGUGGCUGUCCCUCCUUCACUUUCUUGCUGGAUCCUGGAAGACAUCUCUCAGUACAGACAGAAAGAGGCCGAGUCUAUUCCGUAAAUGAAAGAGCAGAAGGGUCAGCAAGAGAACAAUGAGUUUGGAAAUCUUCAUGUUCCUGGGCCCCUCUCUAUGUUACUAAGCUGAGUCAGCAUUCCAACAAUAUGUAAAAUGGUUUUAUUUUUUUAGUACCGUGGUACCUCGGGUUACAUACACUUCAGGUUACAUACGCUUCAGGUUACAGACUCCGCUAACCCAGAAAUAGUGCUUCAGGUUAAGUACUUUGCUUCAGGAUGAGAACAGAAAUUGUGCUCCAGCGGCGCCGCAGCAGCAGGAGGCCCCAUUAGCUAAAGUGGUGCUUCAGGUUAAGAACAGUUUCAGGUUAAGAACGGACCUCCAGAACGAAUUAAGUACUUAACCCGAGGUACCACUGUAGUAGUAAUGUUUGAAGUGAUGUCAUACUCCCUCUAUUGUUCUGGGAUGUGUAGGUGUUGUGAUUACAUAGCAGUUCCCCACUUUUUAGCAAGAAAGGCAAAAUCUUGGGGCUUAUCCUCUUUUCCUCAGUUAAAAACCAGUAUUUUAUAAUUGUUAAGAAAUAUUUAUAAAAUAUUUGUAAAUAUAAUAAAAUAAAACAUUUGCCUUUAUUCCAUUAGUGACUUCUAGCAGUAAGCUUUUGGCUCUUAAUCUGGUACUUGGAUGAUGAAGAAGAAGUGUUUGGAUAGGAUAUCCUACUUUAUCACUACCCUAAGGAGUCUCAAAGCGGCUAACAUUCUCCUUUCCCUUCCUCCCCCACAACAAACACUAUGUGAGGUGAGUGAGGCUGAGAGACUUCAGAGAAGUGUGACUAGCCCAAGGUCACCCAGCAACUUUAUGUGGAAGAAUGGGGACACGAACCCGGUUCACCAGAUUACGAGUCUACUGCUCUUAGCCACUACACCACACUGGCUCUCUGUAUGCAUUGGUCAUGUUCUACACAGGAACAUGCAGUUUAAAAGACAGACAGUAGACAUGCAGGUGAAUGAUCAUUGCUUAGGCAAUACUGAAUUUCUUUGGAAUGAUCUAAUAAUGUGGUCCUACCUGAUUAAACCAACUGUGCCAUGUUAUGGCAUCUUCAUCAAGGAUGAAUGAUUGGUCUUGAGAAGUUUGCGGAUCUAUCCUCCCAACACUCACUCGGAGCAAACUUUGGUUGGAAAAUAUUAUCCAAUUGACAAUAUCUAAGCUAGAUACCACCUCUCCAUUCUGGUUGAUGAAGACCACAUCUCCGGCCGUAUUGUUAAAUGAGAUGCUUCUCAGAAAGUGAUGGAGCUAGAUUGAAAACAGAAAAGGCAAUUGUUUCGAAAAGGCUGCAGUCUAAUGCAGGGUGGAGCAUUUUUUUCCUUCCUGUAGGAAAAACGACAGAAAUUGGUGGGGGUGAUUCAGUCAAGUGUCAGUGGAUUCAGGUCCAAGAAUGGAGAGAACACCAAUUUUCUCUCUUCCCACCCCCUCUCUCUCCUCUCCCUUUUUUACAACCUUUCUUUAUCUCCCCCACCCCCCACCUCUUUUCCUCUGUCCCUCUUCAUCUCAGGAGACACCACAGUGGUGUAUGAUCACAUGAUCUGAGGGAGGACUUGGAGCCUAUGGCAUAGAGAUAAUGCUGAACAUCUCUCUCAACCAUUACUGCCGCUUCUUAUCUUUGAAUGCAGUAACAUAUCAGUGGUCUGCAAACUUCUUUCAUAGAAGCACUUUUUCAUGUCUGAGAUGAAGGAGCAAGUUGACAACACUUUGGAAACCAAUCCCUUGUGGGGGAAUAACAGGCCUCUUCAAGUUGAGAAUGUUUAGCCUAUGACCUGCCAAAACUGUGGAUUCUGAUUCUUCCCUCUCCGUCCGUACGCCAUUCCUCUGUGCCUAAGUCUGAAUGUGGACAUGGCAUGUAAAGCAUGGGCCAAGGCGUAGACAGCAUUGUGGAUACUGUAACUGUGGCCUGUCAUGCUCAUUUCAAAAAAUGAUCCAGGAAGGUUCUCCAGCUUCUCUUCUCCUGUGCAAAUAUUCCCCUCCACCUUGUCUGUAGUCGAUAUCUGGGAAUACACAUCCAAAGGCCUGUUGCCAGAAGUCCCUGAUAAAACCGUCCCCAUCUGGGCUGGAAGGGUUUCUGUGAACAACAUACUGAUGAAAUCCUGGUGGGUUUCUGAAGUGAAUUUCAAAGGAUAUAGUACCAUUGAAUAUUCCUGCAUCCCAGUUCCUUUGAAUGACAAAUGAAGUGAACUCAACAUGGGCAGUUGUUAUCCAUACUUUACUUUUUAUAUUGUAUGUCAUGUCAUCAUGUUCUGAUAGGUAUGGAAGCCAUCUAAAAGUUCCCAUGGAAUAAGAUUCUCCAUGGGCAACUAUUACAUUAGCUGUGCUGCUAAAAAUUUUAUGGUUUAUACUUGUCCCGUGUUGUAGCAUGCCAUCAAUUUCAGAAAUAAAACUUAAACUGGGGAUUCUUUCUAGGAAUGCAAAACACACACCACUCUUGGUAAAUAUUGGGGAAAUGGUUUGCAGAAAUCUUUCUCCAUUGUCAUUGUCUGUUGCAAUGACUCCAAUCCAUGUCCACCUGAAAUGCAGAAGCAAAGAGAGAAUUCCCUCAUACUGAAGGGCUUCUGAGGCUGCCAUCUGGUAGAAGGGAAGCCCUGGGCUUUUAUCAUUCAUCACCGGAGCAGAGCCAUAAAUGAGCUAAAAAGUAAGUGGAGGAAGAGAAGAGACAAAGUAGAUUCCUUUCACAGUAUUCAUAUACAUUAUGAGGUGAACCCUGUUAGUCUAAUACGCCCUUUGCUAAUGUUUCAGGGUUUGUUUGCCUCUCUCUUAGUUUUACAAAAGAAACACAUGCAGAUGGGCUGAAAACUGGGAUCAUCUCCCUUUUCUCAUUUUUAAACCUUUAAUUUGAUGACUGGAAAGGGAACUGUGUCUGUUUUAUAUUAUUUUUAGGAAUCUUUUUAACACACUGAUGACUGGAGCAAAGCAUUGUGUCUACUUCACUUAAAAACAAACAAACUUUUUUAUGUCAUUGGAAAAUUUGGCAGGGUCUUCUAAAAUGCAUAAAACUGAAUGGGGGAACAUACCCUGCCACAAACAACAGAUUUCCUGGACAUUAUCUGGCUUUGUCAGAAUUGCAAGCAAUUUCCCUUUUCCAACAGCAACUCAUCUAACUUGGGUUAGAUGCACAUUUCUUCUCUGGAGCUUCGUCUUUCUUCUUCAUGAUGCACAUGUACCAUCACACAGCAAAACUGUGCUGAUUAUUCUCAGACUUUAUUUAUGAACAUUUAUUUCACUUGUGAAUCAGCUGCUAACUAGUUUUACUGUUCUCCUGAAGAACUGGAUUGUAUCUGCAGUUUGCAAUAACUUCUCUAUAUCUUUAAUUAUGUCCAGUGGGCUAAAGAGGAAUAGUUAUUGUACUGGCUCCUACCUGUAAGGUUUUUGUAGCUGUAAGCAUUUCCCCCACUUCCCCAGCUUAUUUGACAUGCCCUCCUCACUAAUUUUUCCACUGGCGCCUAAAAUCUUAUUUCUUUUAUCCAGUAAGCAAUUCCCCCCUUUACUCAGCAGCUCAAUUCAGAUACCCUCCUAACUAAGCAGAAAAUGAUGCAUAACCAAAAACUGCUGGUGAGAGAGAAGCCCACUCUCCCAUCAGUGGCAUUUGUUUUAUACUGUAAGUGAUCUAAAUGUGUGUGUAAGACAGGGGAGAGUUACAUAUUUUUUCAGCUAUUGCAACCUUCCCCUUUAUUCAGGUUUGUCUGUCUGUCAGUCUGAAUGUUUGGUUAUAUUACAAUUAUGUACAACCUUUAUUUUCCAAGGAACUCAAGGUGGUGUACAUGGUUGUCUUUCCAAUUUCAUCUUCACCCGGAACUGAUGCUGAGGAACCUGCCUCUUCCUCUAUGCAAGCUAAUAGAGGUAUUGUACAUAGGUGUCCUACCUGCGGAAUCUUAUAGAUAUCCAAAAUAGUUGCCACAUAAAAGGAGAUUUCAGAAUCCAGUCCCCCAAUGACCCCUGCCAGAUAACUUUCAACAUCACAUAUAUAGUUAGGGACAAAUUUUUCCACCAUGGAUAAAAGCAGCAGUGUGGCAAGACAUGUGCUCCUUGCACUGAUAUAGCUGUCAUAUAAGUGGAAGCCCAAGGUGAUAUUGGGUAGGAUGUGAGAGUCUUUGUUGAUCUCCUUGACUGCAAAUGCCAAGGCCACAAUGUGCUGGUAAAGCUUAGGCACCACCCUAGAAUGAGAGUUGCAAACUGUAUCAGCAGGAACUUCAAAAGAUGUAUCCUUUUACAUAUCAACAGAGUAGUUAAUCAUAUUGAGUUCAGUGGGAUUAACUCUCAGUCUGUUCCACUAUUGAAUAGCUCUUAUCAUUAGAAGGUUCUCUCUGAUGUUUAUUUGAAAUCUCCUUUCUGGUUACUUGAAAACCCUGAUUUGGAGCAAGAGAAAACAAGCAUGUUCCAUCUUCCUGGUGACAGCUCUUGAGAUAUUUGAAAAUGGCUAUUAUUCCUCCCCUCAGUCUCAUCUUAGAUAAACAUACUAAACCCCCUCAUCCGUUCUUCAUAAGGCUUGGUUUCCAGACCAUCUUUGAUGCCCUCCUCUGCCCAUGUUCUAGCUUGUCAAUAUCCUUCUUAAAUUGUGGUGAUCAAAACUGGACACAGACUUCAGGUGACCAAGGCAGAAUAGAGCAGUACUAUUAUUUCCUUUCAUCAGGACACUAUACUUCUGUUGAUGCAGAUCCCUUGAACCUUUCCACAUGUACUACUGGCAAGCCAAGUUUUACUCAUCUUAGAUUUGUGUAUUUGUCCCUAUUGUAAUUCAUGUUCUUACUUUUGUCCAAGUUUUAAAAUGUUUUAAGCUUAAUAGUAUCUAGAUCAGGGGUUGCUAAUGUGGGGUAAUGGGAGGUUUUCCCUUACAUGUCUGAGGUCUUUUUCUGACACUUACAAAGUCUCUGGUCUCUCUGGUCUCUCCCUGCAGUGACUUCAUUUUCGUGAGUCAGUGGUGGUCGUUGGAAUUCACUGAAUUCUAUACUUACUAAUAAGUACCUUUCAGUGCUGUAACAAAGCUUAGUCUAAGUUCAGAUUAUGAAAGCAUAAGGACAUUCAGCUUCAGAACAGGUUUUUAAAAAUACAUUCUUACUAAUACUCUAAUAGUUUAGGUAAAGUCUAGCAAAAUGGGCUGCUCAAAAGGCCUCUCCUAGACACACAAACAUGCAUACAUUUCAGUAUUCAUUUCUCUAUCCAGAAAUGGGAAUUUCUCCUAUAUUCUCUUAAUUCACAAGACAUUUGUUCCAUUUUAUUGCACCAGCAUAAGUCCCAUUCAUAUCUAAACUGGAUUCCCCCAGGUAAAAGGGUAAACAUUUGCUGCCUCACUCAUUAUUCUGAGGCCGCAACUCUAGGUUUGAUCAUUCCUUUGAUGUAAUAAAAUGAGUGGCUUAGUUCUUACACAAGCUCUUCAGGCAGUGCUGGUGGGGGUUCCUCAGUGAAUGUUGCUGGAGAGGAGAAGAAGCCACCAUGGAAAACAAUGCCACCAAUGAGGAACUCUCCUGGCUGAUGAUAUGUGUGAAGUGGAUGUUUUCGACCAUGGAGCCUGCAUUUUGCUAUGUGAGCCUCACAUAUAUUGUAAGAAAUCAGUUCAAGCAGCAAGAUCACUACAACCAACAUCCUUAAUACAAAGGCAACUAUUUGUUUUAUGCAGAAACUAUGGUUUUUUCUGGCAAUACUAGAAUAGGUUUCUCCAAGAUAAAAAUUGUCUCAUUUAAAUAAUAGAUUAAUUUCCCGAGAGGACACAAUACGGGAGUAUCCAAAAUUAGACUUGCUGAUCCCAGACAGUAUUUAAAUAAUUCUGGUUAAGUUGUAGUAUCCUUUGUGUUAUGUUGCCAGUGGCCAGAGAAAAUACACAGGGAUUUUUGAGGAGCAGCAUAUUAAUUAUAGCCCUGUUAAUAACCAAGCAGGAGUGUAGUUGUUCAUCCAAUGCUCGGGAUUCCCUGUGGAAUUGCAGAAGAAAAUUGCUGAAGAAAAUAUUCAGAACUGUUAUUUUAUUUUCCCUUUCAGUAGAUGAUAAUAGACCAGUGGUGUAUGGGUGAAAUUAGAAGUUAGAAGACCUUGUAGCCAAUGAAGACUCCAAAAUGAAGAAUGGUGUAGUCAGCAUCUUGGAAUUUGGCUGAGUGGAUCUGGAUUCACACCAGCCAUAUGGCAUGUCUGCAAUGGCUGCUCAUUGCUGUUCUGUGGGAUUACAGUUGUGUCCACUGGCUCUCAGCCUCCUUCCCCUGUGCCUUGGGAAUGCAUGUUUGCUCAAACCCUCAAGGGCCAAUGCCCCUGUGAUUCUGGAGAGGUUGAGUUGGUGCUCCAGGUCCUCCUGUAUGACUCCUUUUUAUUUUUUUUAAUAUGUAUUCUGCUUCACUUCCAGUAGGGCAAGGGUUGGAGAUGUGUGGCACUCCAGAUGUUGAUGGAUUCCAAAACCAACCAACCCCAGCCAGUAUGGAAAAUGGUCAGCAAUGACGAGGGCUGUAGUCUAGCAAUAUCUGGAGGACUAUAGGCUUCCCAGCCAAAUUUUAGAGGAUUAAAAGUACAUAACAACAAAAGAAAUAAUAUGUCUGCCUGUGUUUUUAUAUCUGCUGUAAGCCACUCAAAGUGGCCGGGGAAACUCAGCCAGGUGGGUGGGUUAUAAAUAAUAAAAUUAUUAUUAUUAUUAUUAUUAUUAUUAUUAUUAUUAUUAUUAUUAUCAGUCCUACUUCCUUCCAUUCCUGUCUCCACUUGAAUACCCUGGACCUUCUGCAAGGAGGGCAUAAUCUUACAGACAAAUCUUACAGAUAAGCAGAUAACAAGAAAAGAAAUAAUAUGUUUUACUGUGUUAAAGUGGCUGGGGAACACAGCCGAAUGAGUGGGUUAUAAAUAACAAAUUUAUUACUAUCAUUAUCAUUAUUAUUAGUCCUACUUCCUUCCAUUCCUCUCUCCACUUGAAUACCCUGGACCUUCUGCAAGGAGGGCAUAAUCUUACAGACAAUACUUAACAAGCGUAGUCCACAGAUGUCCACAGAGAAAUAAAUGUUUUAAGGUUUAAUGGGGCUUACUCUGGUUUACUUGCAUUCUCCAUUCAUCAUGGUUAGAUCUAAUCAAUUUUAUCUGCUCAUCAAACAUUUGAUGAAGGGUGCCAACAGUCAGUGGAAUAUCCAACAAUAUACUUGUCACAUAUAUGAUNNNNNNNNNNNNNNNNNNNNNNNNNNNNNNNNNNNNNNNNNNNNNNNNNNNNNNNNNNNNNNNNNNNNNNNNNNNNNNNNNNNNNNNNNNNNNNNNNNNNCUCAAAAUAAAACAUAUGUCCAGUACUCUGUUAUGUGGUUCAGAGUGAUGUCGUCCUAUAAUCGACACAGGCAAGGCCAUUCCUCCUCUUGAUAUUUGAAUGUAUCGUCACACUAGCUUGAGUGCAUCUUAUGCAAGUCGGAAGGAGUGACAAGGACCAGUCUGGAUACGAUUUGAACCACAUACCACCUAGCUACUCUCAGUGCAAUUUUAUUCUCAUUUGAUUAACAUAUUCCAACUCUCUCUCUAAAUUUUGACCCUGUAUACACACAUCGUUCAGCCUGUAUGCUGAGAUUAAGCUCUGAUGGCCUUUUGUCAGUUCUCCCAUUGCGAGAUGUGAGGUUACAGGGAACCAGGCACAGGGCCUCCUUUGUAGUGACGCCCACCCUGGGAAUGUCCGCCCAUCAGAUGUCAAGGAAAUAAACAACAUUCUGAUUUUUAGAAGACACCUGAAGGCAGCCCCAUAUAGGGAAGCCUUUAAUGUUUGAAGUUUUACUGUCAUUGAGGUUUUAAUUUGUUGGAAGCUUUCCAGCAUGGCUGGGGCAACCCAGUCAGAUAGACUGAAUAUAAAUUAUUGUUACUACUGCUCCUACCACCACUAUCUGAAGGACAAUGACCACCAAGAGGCAGGGACACACAUACAAUAACUUAUGUCUUCUUUUGAAACUUAACCUCAGCCAUCCUGACACCUUUCAAUCAAAUGGACCCAUUUAAUCAAAUUCUUUCCCUUACCAUCCUGGUUUGCAAUCUUCCCCUCUGGACAUGGGAUGCAAUCAUAGCAGCAAGGGGGCUGUCCCUCCUUCACUUUCUUGCUGGAUCCUGGAAGACAUCUCUCAGUACAGACAGAAAGAGCCUGAGUCUAAUGCAUAAAUGGAAGAGCAGAAGAAUCAUCGAGAGAAUAAUGAGUUCAGAAUGUUUCAGGUUCUAAGGCUCCUCUCUAUGUUUCUAAACUGAGACAGAAUGCCUCUACCAAGAGCAACUGCUACUUUUCUUUUUAGUAGUAGUAAUGUUUGGCGUGAUGUAAUAUCUCCUCUAUUGUUCUGGGUUGUGCAGGCACACUUUGAAGUUACUCUAGUGCCCCUGUUAAUCUUGUUAUAAUCGCUACUUCUUACUAUGUUGUCUGCCAGGUAGACAUCUCUAGAAUUGAUUUGGUGUUGGUGCCUACACCUAUUCUUGGACCCAUCAGACGCUGUCUGGGGAAGAAUUCCUUAUAGUUCCAAAUAAGGGGUUUUUGAGGAAUGUGUUCUUUAUGAGUUCUCAUACAAAAAUAAAAUAAAAAUUAUGGACAAAUACAUGAAUUGGAAUGAUGCUAUCCAAGAGAUUUAGCACUGAGCAUGUUAAGGGGAAAAUAUGCUUUACAAUACAUAUUUUGAGAUACUCUCUUUUUCAGACUGAUGCAUCCAUUCCCUAUGCUCUUCACACCUUUGCUCUCAGCCCCCUCCUUCACUUUCUGUAUCUUCACCACUUUUCCUGCUUCCACCUCUUCCACUGGCUCCCUUAGAAGACUAGUGGUAUCCUGAACCUGCUGCUGCUGUCUAUUUUCACUUUUUUCCUCCUUUUCCCAACCACUUCAUUUCUCCACUUUCCUCGCAAAAAGGCAAAAUCAUGGGGCUUAUCAGUUCAUACAUAGUCUUUCACUCAGUUCAAAACCAGUAUUUAAUAUUUAUAAAGAAAUCCCAAUUUCUUUGGUUUAUUUUGCAAUAAUUUUCUUUAUAUACUUAGGAUUCUGGUUGCAGUCUUUCAGUGGGGAAAAAAGAACCUAUUUAAUUAGUCCAACUGACCUCCUGUGUGCACUGUUUGAUGUAAGAAUGUUUCAAGGUCAACAUGACCAUGCAAAAAUCCACUGGAUAGCUAAUUGGUCUUUCAGAUGUACACCCUCUAGUGCAGGGAAGUGUAUGCCAAGGCCGUGAUUGGCUGAAAGAAAACAUGCCCUCCUGUGUCUCGGCCUUUUCAUAGAAAAACUGGUAUUUGACUUGGGCCUACUGAUCCACAUUCAGAUGAAGAUAGUGUGAUGUAAAAAUCACAUUUGUGUGGAUGAAGCUUGUGGUGGGGGUCUGUGAAGGGUUGGGAUUAGGGUGAGACAACCUAGCUUUCGCUCUUUUCGUUUCAAUCAGAUUCCCCAAGGUAAGUUUACACUGUUAGUCUUGCUUAACUGUAUUUUAUAGUAAAAGGGUUCUUCUGUUUUGUAACCUCCUUAAUGAAAUAUUUGCCUUUAUUCCUUGUUUCGACAGAGGGCUGCCUUCAGAUGUCUUCUAAAAGUUGUGUAGGUCUUUUAUCUCCUUGACAUCUGGAGGGAGGGUGUUCCACAAGGAACACUGUUCUAGGGAUAUACAUGGUGAAUUGGCUUGUUUAUUUAUAAAGCGCUUUAUCCAAACCUUUAAGCCUGGGAUUCCCAUGGCAACCUCAUACAGCUCAUUGGUGCACGCCCAGGCCCUCUCCUCUACCAUUUCCAAUUGUUUUUGUUAAUGAAAUGAAUUUUGCAUUUUAAACUGAAGAUGGAGCCAAAGUGACUGUAGAGUGGCAUCUAGUGGCACCUUAACUUUUCUCCAGAAUGUUUCUGGAUCCCACAUGGGGCCUAUAGAGAAGAUAGAGGGAGCAGACAAGCUAGAGACAUAAGUUACAUAGAAGCAGCGGUGGGCUUACCUGCCCCUCCCCAAUAUUUUAUUCAAGUUGUUGACCCUGCUUUGGCCAUCCACUAAUCAGUAACUUGCAGUUCAAAAGACAGUGAUUAGAAAGGCAGGGGGAUAAAUAUUGCUUAAGCUAUAUUGAAUCUCUUCUGAAUUACGGUAGAUAAGAAUGUGGACCUACCUGAUUAAACCAUCUAUGCCAUAUUAUGGCGUCUUCAUCAAGGGUUAAUUUUUGGUCUGGAGGAGCUUGUGGAUCUAUCCUCCCAACUCUCACUCUGUGGAAACUUUGGUUGGGGAAUAUGAUCCAGUUGACAAUAUCCAAGCUAGAUGCUGUCUCUCCAUUCUGGUUGAUGAAGACCACAUCUCCUGCAGUAUUGUUAAAUGAGAUACUUCUCAGAAAGUGAUGGAGCUGGAUUGAAACAGAAAAGACAGGUGUUUAGAAAAGGCUACAGUCUAAUACAGGGCCGAUCAACCUUUUUUCCUGUGUGCAGAGCAUCCAGCGAAUGGUGGGUGGUGAUUUAGGCAACUGUGAGUGGAGUCAGGUCCAAGCAUGGAGAGAGCCAACCCAUUUUCUUUCACAAGUAUGCCAGUCUCCUUUUCUUACCCAAAUUAUUGAUAGUCUCUCUCUCCCUGUCUACCUCCGCUUCCACUGUUUAAUGUUAUGGAAUGGGGAAUUGGACCAAAAUAUUAAAUUCCAUGUUCAAUUUCUUGAGGUUAACUGAUGAUGUCAUAACUUCACAAUAUACCGUGAUUUUUUAAAAACGGUGACAGAAGUUUUCAGUCCUGCCAACUUUUGUUAUUUUAAACAAUGUAUUGGAAAACUUUGAUGCUAUCUAAGCCUUGUAAUGCUGAAUUCAGCUGAUACUACUGCCGUUAAUGCAUGACUGACUAGGCUAAAGGCCCACAGACAUUACCCCCCAGUCACCUCAGAACAAGUUGUAGGAAAAUAUGAGAAGUGUGAAGGAAUCAUGCUUAUUCUCUGAUACGAGGAAUAAACAUCUUCACUUUUUGUGGCUUCCUGUUGGGCGUAUCUUAAGGACAAACUUCCUUUCAUCCCAAGUUCAUUUUUUUGUACGGAGAAUAUGUGACUUGUAUGAUCAAGUUGACUGUGGCUUUGUGCUUCUUCACCUGGUCUUUAGGAUUGCUUUAUUUUGUAUUCCCUUUAAGACUUAGAAGAAAUAUCCACAGGAAUUGCUCUGUUGCUAAGAAAUGUCUUUGCAGUGUGUAAAACAGAAAUCAUUCCUAGACUGUUUGAAACUAUAACAGAGGGCAACAACUUUAGUGUUGUCUCCAACUAUGCUUUCCUCAGACCCAUUUUAAUUAAGGAACCUAAAUAAUAUUACAAGUUUCACUAGGAAAGGACAAAUUUUACCAAGGAAAUUCAGGGUAUACAGUGCUACCUCAGGUUAAGUACUUAAUUCAUUCUGGAGCAAACAAACUACACUAUGAAGCCACAAUUUCUUCUUGGCUUACUAACUGUGGUUUGUUUGAGCACACCAAACCAAAAUCACUGGCUUGGAUUUAUCACAAAGUCAGGGACCAUGGUUUGUUUACUCAUCCUAACAGAGGAGUGAGGCUGGAGCAAUCUCCACAUUCAUUAUAAACUUUAUAAUGACGUGCAAACUGGACAUUUGUUUCUCAGUAGGAGAUGCCUGUUCUCAGUUUUCAGAAGAAAGGAAAUCACACCUAUGGUUUUUCUGUUACAUUUAGGAAGUAAAAAUUCCCUGCCCUUUUCUUUUUUAGCUCAUUGUUUUUGAUUACAGUGGUACCUCGGGUUACAGAUGCUUCAGGUUACAGACUCUGCUAACCCAGAAAUAGUACCUCAGAUUAAGAACUUUGCUUCAGGAUGAGAACAGAAAUCUUGCGGUGGCAGUGGUGCAGCAGCAGUGGGAGGCCCCAUUAGGUAAAGUGGUACCUCAGGUUAAGAACAGUUUCAGGUUAAGAACGGACCUCCAGAACAAAUUAAGUUCUUAACCCAGGUACCACUGUACUGGCUUUUGCAAAGUAGCUGUAGAAAUGUACGUUUUCUGGCACAUUAUGAGUUGAAACAAGUGUUAUCAAACAAAUAUUUGUAAAUAUGAUGCAAAUGAUUUCUGAGAGAUGUGAUUUAUUUGUCAAUAUGCCUAAAGGUAAAGGUAAAGGGACCCCUGACCAUUAGGUCCAGUCAUGGCCGACUCUGGGGUUGCGGCGCUCAUCUCGCUUUAUUGGCUGAGGGAGCCGGUGUACAGCUUCCGGGUCAUGUGGCCAGCAUGACUAAGCCGCUUUUGGCGAACCAGAGCAGCGCAUGGAAACACCGUUUACCUUCCCGCCGGAGCGGUACCUAUUUAUCUACUUGCACUUUGACGUGCUUUUGAACAGCUAGGUUGGCAGGAGCAGGGACCGAGCAACGGGAGCUCACCCCGUCGCGGGUAUUCGAAACCCGGGACCUUCUGAUCGGCAAGUCCUAGGCUCUGUGGUUUAACACACAGCACCACCCGUAUCCCAGAUCUCAAGCCCUUCUUCCCCAUACUCCCUUUUCCAUCUUUCCCUUUCUCCCUCUCCAUGAGACACAGUGUUGUGCAGCCACCGGCUCUGAGGAAGGAUUUGGUGGAUAUGGGCUAGAGAGAAUGUCAAACCUCUCUAUUGACUAUGACCACUACUUCCUUUCUGUGAAUGCAGAUCUCAGUGGGCUGCAAAGCUUCUCUCAUACAAAUGCUUUCUCCUCAAAUACAGGGCAGUAACCACUCAAAAUAGGACACAACCAUCAUUUCCCUUUCCUCUGGGGGUAUACUGCCAUUACAUAGUCCAGAUUUGCGAGCGGCACAAUAUGUGGGGAAUCAUCUAGGAUACCAUCAUAUCAAUGCCUUCUUCUCUGUCAGCAGAAUUAUAGAUUCAUUUCUGGACUCUGCCCAAAUGUUUGAACUCUGAGAGGAAAGACUAAGGUGACAGCAUUUUGUGAACCCAUACAUAUUCAACAGAGUGGGGUGGGGUGGGUGCCCAGUGGCAUAUAAUAUUUCCAAAAUAAAACCGUAAUCCUCAAAAGGAUGUGCCAGAGUGAAGACUGUUGGGAGAAUGCUCCAGGCUAUCAGCAGCCCCCCCCCCAUUUCUCUGAGCGUCCUCCGGUGAGCAUUGCUCUGGAAAAGGCACCCCCUUCCUCUCCAUGGCACUCCAGCAGCAUAAACCAGCUUGCUUUAUGCACACUAAUCUUCUGGCUUAACACAGCAAGAAGAAUGAAGCAUCAUAGUUAUAAACUACUAUUUAUUUACACUAUAUUACAUGGACAUGGACUCUCUCAUCCAGCUCCAAGAGAAAACAGGCAAACAUGAAAGUACAUCACAUAAUACAUACAGAUAGGGCUUUAUCCAGUUCUCACGCUUCCUCACAAAAAGACUGUGUGAUUUGCACUAAUAACAAAAUGCAGCCUCGGAGGAGUGAAAUUGCUGGAAGUGUGAGAAAGAAGGCCACCUGCAGAAGAAUUGCAGGAAGGGCCAGAAGCCCAAGAGCUCUGGGGCAGGAGGGACCAGUGGCAAGAAUCGUACCAAGCCUAGCUCUACCCAGACACAUGCUUUGAUCACACCAAGACCUCCCCAACUAUCCAGAAUGAAGCAUCUUCGCCCUAGUGCAUCAUGAAGGUAAGACGUAGGAGGGGGGGAUGAUAGGUCAACUGUGAUGUCAUGCACUCCUCCUCCCCCAGUGUCGGGCACAAUUCUGAUUAUGAGGAAGCAACAGAGCUCUCACUGUUGAGGAUGUACAACCUUUACCUGCCAAAACUGUGGGUUCAGUUUCUUCCCUCUCCCUCCAUACACCAUUCCUCUGUGUCUGAGUCUGGAUCUGGACAUGGCAUGUAAAGCAUGGGCCAUGGCAUAAACAGCACAGUGGAUGCUGUAACUGUGGCCUGUCAUGCUCAUUUCAAAAAAUGAUCCAGGAAGGUUCUCCAGCUUCUCUUCUCCAGUGCAAAUAUUCCCCUCCACUUUGUCUGUAGUGAUAUCUGGAAAUACACAUCCAAAGGCCUGUUGCCAGAAGUCCCUGAUAAAACCGUCCCCAUCUGUGCUGGAAGGGUUUCUGUGCACAACAUACUGAUGAAAUCCUGGUGGGUUUCUAAAGUGAAUUUCAAAGGCUAUAGCACCAUUGAAUACUCCUGAAUCCCAAUUCCUUUGAAAGACAAAUGAUGCGAACUCAACCUGGGCCGUUAUUAUCCAUACUUUACUUUUUACAUUAUUAAUCAAGUCAUCAUGUUUUGAUAGGUAUGGAAGCCAUCUAAAAUUUGCCAUGGAAUAAGACUCUCCAGAGGUCACCACUACGUUAGCUUUGCUGCUAAAUAUUUUGUCUUGUAUAUUGGCCGCCCGUUCUAGCAAGCCAUACGUUUCAGAAAUAAAACUGAAAUCGGGGAUUCUUUCUAUGAAUGCAAAGCAGACACCACUGUUGGUAAACAUGGGGAAAAUAGUUUGCACAAAUCUUUCUCCAUUCUCAUUGUCCGUUGCAAUGACUCCAAUCCACGUCCACCUGAAAUGCAGAAGCAAAGAGAGAAUUCCCUCAUACUGAAGGGCUUCUGAGGCUGCCAUCUGGUAGAAGGGAAGCCCUGGGCUUUUAUCAUUCAUCACUGGAGCAGAGCCAUAAAUGAGCUAAAAAGUAAAUGGAGGAAGAGAAGAGACAAAGUAGAGUUCUUUCACAGUAUUCAUAAUCAUUAUGUGGAGAACCCUGUUGGUCAAAUAUGGCCUUUGCCAAUGUUUUGGGGUUUGUGUGGCUCUCUUUCACAUAUACAAAAGACAAACAUGCAGAUGGGCUGAAAACUGGGAUUAUCUCCCAUUUGUGGUUUUCAAACCUUUGAUUUGAUGACUGGAGAGGGGCACUGUGUUUGGUUUGUUUUAUUUUAUUUAUAAAUCUUGUUAACACUUUGAUGACUAAAGCAGGGCAUUGCCAUUGUGUCUAUUUUACUGUUUAGGGAAGCUUUUAAUGUUUGACGGACGAUUGUAUUUUACUAUUUUGUUGGAAGCUGCCUAGAGUGGUUGGAGAAAACCCAGCCAGAUGGGUGGGGUCUAAAUAAAUUAUUUUUAUUAUUAUUAAAAAAACAAAACAAAGAUUUUUUUUAAUGUCAUUGUAAAAUUUGGCAGGGUCUUGUACAAUAGAUAAAACUGAAUGGGGGAACAUACCAUGCCCCAACAGCAGAUUUCAUGGACAUUAUCUGGCUUUGUCAGAAUUGCAACUUGGGUUAGAUGCACAUUUCUUCUCUGGAGCUUCAUCUUUCUUCUUCAUGAUGCACAUGCCCUAUCACACAGCAAAACUGUGCUGAUUCUUCUCAGACUUUAUUUAUGAACAUUUAUUUCACUAGUGAAUCAGCUGCUAACUACUCUAACAUACCAUGCCCCAAACAGCAGAUCACCUAGACAUUAUCUGGCUAUGUAAAAAUUGCAAGCAAUUUCCCUUUUCCAACAGCAACUCAAUUUGGAUACCCUCCUCACUAAGCAGAAAUUGCUACAUAACUAAAAACCGCUGGUGAGGUAGAAGCCCACUCUCCCAUCAGAGGCUUUGGGAUUUCAGUGGUGUAGAUGUGUGUGUCAGACAGGGGGAGUGACAUAUUUUUUUUCCUGGUAUUACAACCUUUCCCCUUAUUCAGGUUUCUUUCUUUCUUUCUUUCUUUCUUUCUUUCAUCUAUUAUAAUUAUAUACCGCCUUUAUGUUCCAAGGAUCUCAAGGUGGUGUACAUGGUUCU
rnacentral:lncRNA from 1 species